rnacentral:lncRNA from 1 species
AAAAUGAGAAAUUUGGCCAAAUAUAAUAUUAUAGAUCAAGAAACAAAAAGACAGACAACAUAAACAAGAAACAAAUAAUUAUUAAAAAGUAAUCCGAUGAUGGUUGGAUACCCAGGUAAACUGGUCACCUUAUCAAAUCAUCCAAUGUAGCAAGCAAGUCAAUCAAAACAUAUGAGAAAACAAUCCACCACCAUGCUCUGUAAUGUAUCACACAAUUGGAUCCCACCCUUAAACACGAUUAAGUUGGGAUUCCAUAACACACCAAUUUGAAAUCCCACCCAAAUCCGAACCCGAUUUCAAGCUAGAUCGGUUCCUAUGUAUCACCACAGAGCGGUUCCAAGACAUUCAUGACGAUGGCACAGCAACCUGUGGCAUCAGCACCAUCACCAUUCCCUGACAAAAAAGGAAGGCAGCGUGGGAGGCCGACUAAGCCAUCAGCACGGGUUAUGGCCCCUUGAGCCAGGGGUGCACCCACCACCAUGCACAACACCAACAGACAUGCAAGCUUAAGGGACAUUGAGCUAGCCAUAUGGAUUAAUCACAAGAAAAACAAACUUGUAAGGAAAAUGGUUGCUUGGAGUAUUGCUGAUUGUUGCGUGGUUAGGGGUUGAGGGUAGGAGGGUUUUUAUAGCCAAAAGUUAAGUUUUUAUUUUCUUUUUUUCAGCUUGGUGGUAGCAGGGAUUCUUUUGUUUUCCUCUGUACUUUUGGUUGUUGUUUUUGGGUGAUUCCUUUAGGCUUGUUUGCUGCUGUUUUUAGGCUGUGUCUCUGUCAAAACAGAUGUACUGAUUUUGUGUGUGCCAACUUUCUUUCAAUUGAAUCAUAAUGGCCCUUCCCAAAAUAGUUAACCUAAAAAUUUGCGUACCGAAGUAAACCCCUAUAGUUGCUUACUUAUAAAACAGAAAACCUUAUCUUUCAUAAAGAUGGCUAAACCUACAACACGUGACAUUGGGGUCGGCAAUCGGGCAACAGAAGCGUGCGUCGUUUCUAAUCCGGAUUCUGAUUUAGAGGCAUUCAAUCAUAAUCCACCGCAUGGUAGCUUUGCGCCACUAACUUUUUAACUAAGUCCGAUGACCAUCAGUAAGAUAAAACUAACCUGUCUCACGACGGUCUAAACCCUUGUGAAUAUUUAAUCCAACAAUAGGCAAAUAUAUAGAUUAACGAUUUUCAAUACAUUUUAAAAUAAAUAAAAUAUUGAACUCUUGUGAUUGAUUUGGUGGUCAAGGGUUAUUCACCCAUAAAACCUACCCGAAAUAAUAUUAAGAUAGGUGUAACUUAACAAACAAAUGCCUUUAAAAUAAUAACAAAAUUAACAAAAAAACAAGAGCUAUACAAUAUCUAAAAAUUAAUAAAACCCCUAACCCCUCUCCGCCAACGGAUUAGGGUCACGGGCAUUAUUAUCAAAUCAAUCAUAAUUAAAAUGCAAGCUAAUUCAUUCAAAUCACAGUAAAAAUUACCCAUUUAGUCCUAAAUACGAGUUUACAGGACCCUAAAAUGAUUUAAGAACAAAUGGGGGCUAAUUUGAAACAAUUCUAGAAGUUUAGGGUGAAAUCUCAAAAUGCCUAGAAACAGGGGACACACGAUUGUGUGGAAUGCCCCAGACCGUGUGACUUUCGAAGUUGGGACACAUGGCCGUAUCCCAGCCCGUGUCUCUAUCCGUGUAACUCAUUGACUUGAGAUACACGACCGUAUGUCAGCCCGUGUGGAAACUACACCUAUACUAUUUUUCAACACGCUCAGGGCACAUGCCUGUGUGUGACACACGGCCGUGUGAUAAUAACAACAAAACAAUAACAAUAUAAUAGUGAAAUGACAAUAAAACAGUAGAAAAACAACAACAACAAUUUUUUUUUGUAAAUCUGGGUUGUGCUCGGACCAAAAAAUUCUUACUCGAGGCCCAAUCCAUUUCCUAAACAGGCCAUAAAAACCUUAUUUUGUGUGUCUCAGCUUUCUUUCAAUUGAAUCAUAAUGCGCCCUCCCAAAAUAAUUAACCUAAAAAUUUGCAUAAGUAAACCCUAUAAUUGCUUACUUAUAAAAAGAAAACUUUUUAUUUCAUAAAGAUGGCUAAACCUACGACAUGUGUCAUUGGGGUCAGCAAUUGGGCGACGGACGCGUGCAUCGUUUCUAAUCCGAAUUCUGACUUAGAGGCGUUCAGUCAAAAUCCAGUGCAUGAUAGUUUUGCGCCACUGGCUUUUCAACUAAGCGUGAUAACCAAUUGUGCGAAUCAAUUGUUCCUCUCAUACUAGGUUGAAUUACUAUUGUGAUGCGACCAUCAAUAUGGUAAAAUUAACCUGCCUCACGACGAUCUAAACCCAACUCACAUUCCCUACUGGUGGGUGAACAAUCCUAACAUUUGGUGUAUGAAAGAAAAUAUUUUCUUUUUAUAAGUAAGCAUUUAUGGGCAUUGAUGUUGAAUGCUUUGCCGUUAUAGGUAAUAUGAUUAAUAUGAAAGAAAAGUUUUCUCUUUAUAAGUAAGAAAUUAUAGUGUUUAGUUUCUACGCAAAAUUUUAGGUUAACUAUUUAUAUAUAUUUGUGGGAGGGAGCAUUAUUAUUCAAUUGAAAGAAAGCACACACAAAAUCGAAAUUCCAUCACUUCAAGUAAGAUUGAUUCCUAAUAAUAUUCUAUCGGUACCCCUAAAAUAGAAAAUUAUCUAUUAAGGUCCUUUAGAAAUUUUAAAAAUUUAAAUUAAAAAAAAUAAAAUUAUACUUUAGCCCUCUUAAAAAUAAUAAAAGUUUGAUUUAAUCCUUUAAAAAUUUUAAAGAACUAAUCUAUUAAAAAUUAUAAUUUAAUUUCGAUACUCUAAACAAAUUUUCUAACUUCGCCCCGCACAAGAAACUACAAGCUUUUAAGUUGAAAUAUAACAUCUAUAGACAAGUUAGCCAUUACCAGGUUUCCAAGAAUUCAAGAAUUCUUCUGUAUAUUUACAAAAUAAAAAAAGGAUGUAAGUGCUUUGUAUAUUUUGGAAGUACAAUUAAUUGAUAAAAAUAUCGUGGAACUGGAAGCCCGUGUACUAGGAGUCAGAUUGCAUUUUGCCAUUUUUAUUCAAAAAUGGACAAAUUAGUCCCUGUACGUUAGAUAAAAAAGCAAUUUGAUAUUUACUGUUAAAAAUUUCAUCCAUUUCUACAGUUAAAAACCAACGUGGCUAAUAGAAUAAUCAGGCAGUUACACAUAAUGUGCCACGUGUAUCUCAUUCUGACAUACAUGGACUGAUUUUAACAGUAGAAGUGGAUGGGAUUUUUAACAAAAGCACCAAUUUGUUCUUUGAUCUAAUGUAUAAUGACUAAUUUGCCUAUUUUUUUAAUAAAAAUGGUAAAAUUCAAUCUAACUCCUAGUAUAUGGGGCUUCCACAAUCCUUUUACCCUAAUCAAUUAUUGUACAUAUUUUUAUUGAUAUAAUAACAAAUUUAAUCUGCAACAUUUACACAUUUUAUCAACAAUUAUAUAAAAUAUAUAAACAUCAAACGCUAAAUUUAUAAUGAGGCACCCCAAGAAAAUUGAUCGUCUGUUGGUGCAAUCUAGCAUCUUUAUGUUGUAAUAAGGCUUCUGUCCUUAUGGCAUCUGCAAAUUGGUUCUUUGAAACUGCAAGACUCCAUCUAUGGCCUGAAACACGCACCACAAGCUUGGCAUCUAGAGCUAAGUAGUUUUCCUCUGCAACAUGAUUAAGAACUCGGUUUCAUAUGUUUGUUUAUUCAUCUAUGUUAAGGAUUCCAUCCUAAUUUUAUUUCUUGGUUUAUGUGAAUUAUCUUGUAGUCCUUGGAAGUAAUAAUAAUAUGAUGUUCAGUCUUUUCUGGCAACAAUUGUCUCUUAUAUUAGUCUUAAAAUAUCAUGGUCUCUGAAUUAUUUGAUGUGUUGAGGUAAUCUAAAGUUUACAAGGAUUGUUUCUUUCCUAACUGUUACGUAUCAGUAUCGGAACAAAAAUGAUACAUCUGCUGAUACGGUACUGACUACAUUGCUUUAGAUGCACACUCCUUUAGUGGACCUGCUCACUGUUCUGAAUUGAGAACAAGGAUGACAUCAAAAUGAACUGCAAUAACUUAUCGAUGCUGGUCCGAUAUCAGAAUCAUGAUUAUCGAAUUCGUUUAUCGGAUCAUAAUGAGCAGUUUUCAUCUGCUCGUUCAUGGUGAAUAGGGUUCCAUGUAUUCUAUCAAACUGAGGGUGUGAUAUAUCCCCUGCAAUAAAUUCAUGAGUUCUAGUACUCACCUGAAUGAAACUCCAACCCGGCAUCUUUCGAACACCUUUGUCUCUCAUCAUCUUCCUUGCCAUUACAGAUUUAUCCCACCUUCCAGCUGAAGCAUAUAUAUUGGAUAAAAGUGCAUAGUUCCCACUAUUCCAAGGCUCCAAUUGUACCAAAUGGAGCAAAGCUAACUCUCCCAGCUCAGCAUCACCAUGAAUAUUAGAGGCAGCAAGAAGAGACCCCCAUAUAGCUGCAUUUGGCUGAAACGGCAUCUCACUAACUAGUUUGAGUGCUUCUGCUAGAUAACCGGCUCGACCAAGUAAAUCGAUCAUACAACCAUAGUGCUGAAUCUCGUGUUGAAUCCCGUACCUGUAUUUCAUAGCAUGGAAAUAAUAUCGACCCAAGUUCACCAAUCCUACAUGAGCACACGCAGAGAGGACUGCGAUGAAAGUGAUAUCAUUCGGUUUAACUUGAGCCAUUUCCAUCCGAGAGAACAUGUCGAGAGCUUGUGUGCCAAGUCCAUGGAAUGCAAGUGCUGAUAUGAUGGUAGUCCAAGAUAUAACAGUUCUACGGGUCAUAUUCACGAACACAUGCAAAGCAUUGCUUAUAUUGCCUGAAUUCGAAUACAUUUCAAUUAGUGCAUUUUUAAGGGUAACCAUUUGAUCAAACCCACGUUUUUUAACGUAGCCAUGAAUGCAUUCUCCCAAUCGAAUAUGAAAAGCACCCAACUGCGCACAAGCGGAAAGCACAGCCAACAUUGCUAUUUCAUCAGGCACUACAUUCUCCAACUGCAUUUUGCGAAACACAGCGAUGGCUUCGUCGGGACGAUCCAUUUGAGCAUACCCUGCAAUCACUGAUGUCCAAGUAAUAAGUACCGCACCAUCGGUUUGAGUUCGAGGCAUACGGCUCAACAAAUCCAUGGCAGUGUCUGGAUCCCCAACCUUGACAUACCCAGCAAUCAUUGCCAUCCAAACCACAACAUCAUCUGAACAAACAGAGGCGAGAGGCAUUUCAUCAAACACCUUGCGAGCAUCCGAAAUGCGCGCGCACGAGGAAUACAUUUGAAUGAGAGCCGAAACCACGUGAACAUUGGAUUCGAGCCCCGCACAUAUGGCUUGUGAGUGAAUCUGGGUACCCAAACUCAUUGCCCGAAGAUCAACAACCGCCUUCAACGCGAACGGGAAAGAGUAACAGUCGGGUCGCAACCCGACCCGCCCAAUGCUUUUAUAAACAAGGAGAGCCUCAAAGGCGGAGUUGCAGAGUGUCAUCCCCUUGAUCAUGGUGUUGAAAACAUAAAUGUGAGGGUGGCUUUGGGAAUUAACUGAGAAUACGGAGUGGGCAUAGGCGGAGAAGCCCAGAGAAGAACAUGUUUCGAUGAAUUGGCUGAGAAGAAGCUUGUCGUGAUGGAGGGCUGUUCGAACCAUGGAUCCAUGAGCCGUCUCAACAUCUUUAAGGUUAGAGCAAUGCUUUAGUAAGUAAAGCAAUCUCUCUCUCAUUCGCUAAUGCCACUAAGCUAAAAAGCAGCGCCAGUACUGUUCUUUCUUAUUCAUACUGCAAUGGCGGACCUGAGCCAGAUUAUUUGUGCAAGCUUUGGCUUGAGUUGGGAGUUUAUACUUCAGAGAUUUAACUUAAACAUUGGUAGCUAAAUAAUAUAUUUCAUCAUAUAAAAAUAUAUUUAAAUAAAAACUUUGAUCAGGGUACUUGAUUUCGAUUUGAAUGGAACUGCUCGACAUGAAUAUUAUUUACAAUUAAUAUCUAAAUUGAUUUGUUUAAGCUUUUUUCUGGGAUGGUAUAGUUCUUAACCAAAUCAUUAAUUAAUUUUUUAAAUUAAAGAAAUAUCUCUCUUCUUUCAACUUAUAAUUAAUAUUAAUAUAAUAGAAUUUUUCAUGUUUUUAGUCAUCUUUAAUUAAAAAAUAAAAAAUCGAACAUGUAUUCAAUAAUAUUAAAAUACAUACUUUUCAUGAUGUAAAAUUAUAUUAAAAUGAAAAGUUUGAUUAAGCUUAUAAAGUUUGAAUUGAUUAGGAUGCUUGAAUUUGAUUUGAAUGAAACUGCUAAAGUUGAAGGUUAACUUGAUAAUUAUCGGGUAAAAUAUCAAAAAAAACCCUUUUUUUUUAAAUUUACCGAAAUGGGCCCGGCAUUUUAUUAUUUAUCGGAAUGAGCUAUUUUCCCCGAAAUCGCGUCCACAUCAGCGCGAUGUCAGGGGACGUGUCAGCAAAUCGCGUCCACAUCAGCGCGCUUUGCUUACGUGAACACAAAUCGCUCCUACGAGGACGCGGUUUGCUGACACAUCAGCAAAGCGCGCUGACGUGGACGCGAUUUACUGACACAUCAACAAAGCGCGCUGACGUGGACGCGAUUUGCUGACACGUCCCCUGACAUCGCGCUGACGUGGACGCGAUUUCGGGGAAAAUGACCCAUUUCGGUAAAUGAUAAAAUACCGGGUCCAUCUCGAUAAAUUUUAAAAAAUAAGACUUUUUCGGUAUUUUGCCCAAUAUGUAUUACUGUAAUAUGUAGCUCAAAUUAUGUAUUGUAGUUAAUAUUCAUAAUAUUGUAGCUCAAAUUGUCAAUCCGUCUAAACUAUUGUACUAAUAACAUAUAUUAAUGUAAUAUUGAAGAGUUAAUUGAUAAAAAAAUAAAUGCAACCAGUACAAAAAAGAUUCAAAAUUAUUACCAACAAGAUUUGAACCAAGGUACUAAGGGAAAAAAAAACAAGCAUCUUAACCAACUAAGCUAAACUAAUUAAUUGACAUAUUAUAAAAAUAUUGUUAUUAUCUUAAUUAUAUUACUUACGUUCUAAUGAUUUAUCGGACCUAUUCCAUACACGUGCCAAAUCAGAAAAAAUAAUAUAACAAUUCUGUAAAAAAAAAAUCCGGUGUUUACUUCAAAUAAAUAAGAAAAAUAAUGAUUUGAAUAUUUCAAAAUUCAAUUUUAAACCGAAAAAUCAAAAUUUAGAGGUAAAAAAUCGGACAACCGAGCGAAAAGUUAUGGCAUUUCAAAGUUUUCCAAGCUAAAAAACAUAAACGGUCAAUUUUUUGACCAGUGGGUACUGUUCACGUGCGGCGCAAAUUGCGUCCACGUAAGCGCGAUUUGCUGACGUGCCACGUAAGUAAUCGCGCUGACGUGGACGCAAUUUGCUAACACGUCCUCUGACAUCGCGCUGACGUGGACGCGAUUUCGGAAAAAAUAGCCCAUUCCGGUAAAUAAUAAAAUACCGGGUCCAUUUCGAUAAAUUUUAAAAAAAUAAAGCUUUUAUGUGUAAUUUGCCCAUAAUUAUCAAGUAGACUUUAAAAACCUUUUUUCUUUGCUUAAUUCACCCAUCCAAAAACCCUAACAAUGGCUACCCUCUCGCAUGAUAUGAUCAUUGAAAUACUAGGUUGUUUAAGUGUAAAAGAUCUUCUACGCUUCAAGUGCGUUUCAAAGCUCUGGUGUUCUUGGAUCGAGGAUCCAUAUUUCAUCAAACUCCAUCUCUCGUAUUCCCUCAAAACCAAUACCAAUCACUCCCUUAUCCUCCAUCACAGGAAGUUCCAGUUCUUGUCCGUCAACUACGACUCACCCAAAACAACUCGAAGACUCGAGCAGCCAUUCGGUGAACAAAAAAACCCCAUUCAAAUAUUGGGUUCUUGCAAUGGUUUGCUGGCUGUAGAAUAUGACUACAAUAGAAUAUUUUUAUGGAACCUUUCAACGAGAAAAUACCAGGUAUUACCUUCCACUAAAAUAGACUUUUCAUCUUCAUCGAUUUGCUAUGGCCGUUCAAUAUAUUACGGAUUUGGGUACGAUCUCGUUUCUGAUGACUACAAAUUGGUUCGAAUGGUCCAAUUACUUGGAGAAAAUGAUGAAUAUUUUCAUUCUGAAGCUAAGGUUUACAGCUUGAGGAGCAACUGUUGGAGAAGGAUUAAGGAUUUCUGCUUUUAUCUUAUCUUCUAUCGAGAAUUAGGGUUUUUGGCUAACAAUGUUUUACAUUGGAUGGUUUCUAAAACUCCCGAAUCGAGUAAUAGAAACCUUGUAGGUUUUGAUCUUCGGAGCGAGGAAUUCCGUGUAGUUGAAUUGCCGGAUUUUUGUUUAGAUGAGAAUUUCUAUUUCGACGUAAAAGCCAUGGGUGGUUACCUUUGUUUGACUGCAACUCACAGGGAAUUGAAUGAUGUUGUGGUUGAUGUAUGGAUAAUGAAGGAAUAUGGGGUUAAAGAAUCUUGGGUUAAAUUGAUGUCGUCUACCCAACCUGACCUUCUUCCAGGUUCUCCAUUUGAAGUACCUUUGGCUUUUUCAAAGAAUGGUAACAAAGUAUUAUUCCACAAUAAAUACAGUCGGGGCAACAGGGACAGUCUUGUAUGGUAUGAUUUGGGAAGCAAAAGGGUUGAGAAGGUUGCGAUUGAAGGUGUUCCAGUUGUCUAUGAUGUGUACUUGUAUGUUGAGAGCCUUGUCCCUCUUAAUGACAGGCGCCCCAGAGGUAAUUUUUCUUUGUUUAAUUGCAUUUCUCUUUGUUAUGUUAUGACUUUUCAUUUAUAUUUUUCUUUCUAGAUGUGUUUAACCUCCAACUAUAGCAUUGAAUAACUUUUUUUUUUUUUGAUUGUUAGUAUGAAGAAAAUGUACUGCUACAUCAAAAAAAUAGAUUCAUCCAAAACAGUGAUAUUAUAAUUAGAGCCUUUUGUCCCUCUUAAUAGCCCUAUAGAGGUCAUUUUUCUUUAUUUAAUUGCUUUCUUUUAUGGAAAUAUGGGCUUUUUUUUAUUUAAAUAACCCAAAUAAUUUAAUUAAGUACUUAAAUGACCCACCUUUUUAAUUAAAUAUCAAAAUGACCUGAAAUUUAUAUUAAAAGUUAGUGGAGCCAAAUUAUAUGGCGCCACUAACUUACCAUGUCAGCAGGGAGCAUUAAAAAAUUAAUUUUUUUGUGAAGCCAUGUAAAAUAGCGCCACCUCUAUAAAUACUAUAGAAAUACUGCAAGUUUUGGAAAAAUGGGAGACUUAAAACAAUUUUCCAUUUUCUGGUGGAGCCAACUUAAAUGGCGCCACAAGACCAAACCUGACACCUUUUUUUUUUUUACUUUUUUUAUUAACUUUUGUCUUUUUUUUAAGUUUUAUAUUUUUCUUAUUUUAUUUUAUUUUAUUUUGUUUAUUUAUUUAUUUAUUGUUAUUAAUUUUAAAAAAAUUAUAAAUAUAUAUUUGAAAUGUUUUAUAAUAUAUAUUUUUAAAAAUUUUAAAAUUAUUUUUAAAUUAUUUUUUAAAUUUUGAAUAUUAUUUUUUAAAAUAUUAAAUAAAAAAACUAAUCUUAUAUAAGGGUGGUUUGGUCCCCCUUCAGAAGAAAGAAAAGAGAGAAAAAAAAGUUAGUUAAUUUUUUUUAUAUCUUAUAGUUAUUGUAAUAUAAUAAUUAUUUAUAUUGUAUUUAUGUGUUUUUUUUAUAUUAUGCAGAUAUCAAAAUAUCUUCUGGAGAUACAGAUCACACUUCAUCGAGGAUCGACGAAACAGUAAAAUUAAUUAUGAAUUAAAUAAAAAAUCGUUUUAGUUUCUCUUUUUUUCUUGCUAAGCACUACUUUGCUCAACGUGCUUUGAUUUAUGAUUGUGAUCUCUAUUUAGUUAUUAUUAUUCCCUUUUAACUAUUUUCUUACAUGAAAUUAAUCUGUAUGUGUUGGUUAUAAUUUUUUAAUUUUAGUACACAUUCAUAAAAUUAUGUACUUAAUAUAUACUUUUAAUAGAUAAAGGCAAAAAAGAUUUUCUUAAUAGAUUUAAAAUCUUUAAAAACUUAAAGAAAUUAAAUAUAUUAAAAAAUGUUAUGUAUAGUCAAUUUUAAAAUUUUAAUAUAUUUUUAAAAAAUUAAAUAUAUUAAAAAAUGUUAAGUAUAACCAAUAUUAAAAUUACAAUAUAUUAAAUAUAUUUUUUAAAAAUAUAUUUUAAAAUGUUAAUAUAUUUUUUAAUAGGAAAAGAGAAAAAUGAUUUUUUAAUAUAUUUAAAAUUUUAAAUAUGUUAAAAGAAAAUGUUGAGUAUAACCAAUUUUAAAUUUUUAAUAACUGAAUAUAUUUAAAUAUAUUAAAAUUUUGAAAAUAUUAAAAAAAAUUUAAGUCCAUAUAUUAUAUGUAAGAUAAAAGUUCUCGUAUAUAAGAUAAAUUUUCGAGUUAGAAUAUGCUUAGUUUAUAUUAUAUGUAAAACUCUAUAUAUUAUUAUAGAUAUAAAUUCAAUAAAAAUAUGUUUUUUUAUUUUUAUAUUUACCCAUACAACCUAUAGUUUUUUAGGAUAUUAUUAUUAUUUUUAUGUACUUUUUGUUGUUAUAUAGUUGCUGUAACACCCCCUAAUCUCAAACUGUCGCCGGAACAGGGUUAUAAGGCAUUACCGGACAUAUCAACAAUUUACACAUAAUGGUUAAAUAAUUAACCAACAUAUUAUAAUAAUUCAUAAAUUGUUAUAAAUGUUACUAAUUGAUUUCAUUCAUUUUUAUAAGAAUUUCGGCAACAUUUCUAGUUAUUUUUACAUACAACCCCUUGCAAAAUUUCAAACAUAACCAACCCAAUUCCAGUAUUUCAACCAAGGCAUUUAUAUACUUAAAUCUUACUUGACAUAUUGACAUAACAACUUAAUUAAUCAAAAUCCUAUUAUCAUUUCUAGUUAAUACAUAAAACUAAUCAAGCCAUUUCAAUUUGAUACCAGUGCCAUAAAGGAUUUCUACCAUUUUACUAAUAUAAUCAUCAAAACACAUAAUAUCUUACUUUACAACAAAACUAUAUAACAUACCAAAAUAACUAUUAUAAUUCUUAUGUACAUGCCACUUUCUCUUAAAGAAAGAAAACAUCACCAAAAUUUUAUGUUGGAGUCGGGAUUGUCCUGGAUGCUGAACCGAGACUCUGACCCUUUUUUUUUUUCUUUUCAACCUGCGCACGGAAACAACCGUACGCUCAGUAUUUUAUACUCAGCGGUAUUACCAUAAUUCAAAUUAUAAUAGCAAUAAAGAAUUAUAAUUACUAAGCAUGUAACUAUCCGAUUUCUUAAAUAUCAAUUAAUUUAUAAACUUUAUUAUUUAACAAUAACAAUACAAUUUUUCUUUAGCUAAUUUUCGAUCUCAAUCACAUAUCACAUGUAACAAUUUCAAUCACAACAUAAGCAUUAAUUUCAUGCCUUUCAUUUUCAAUAUCAAUUUCAAUCCGAAAUUUUAAAUUUUCUCAUAUUCAAUUGUUCACCCUAUUAACAAUCUGGACUUUAACAAAUACACGGAUUCCAACCCAAACAUACCAGUACGGCACAUUGUGCCUAAAACGGUACAUAGUACCUGAUCAGUAUACGACACAUAAGUGCUUGAAACGACACACGAGGUGCCUGAUACGACACAUAAAGUGCCUGAGAUACGACACAUAAAGUGCCUGAUCGGCAAAGCCGAUAAAUCCCGUACUCUUCUAAAUCCUAUGGCAUGCCAAUUAUAUCCGACUCAGCCCGACUAAUUAAUAGGGUAUAUAAAUUUCACAAUCUAAUUUUCACUUUUAUUUCAAAAAUUCAUUUUCAGUAUCACUUAUAUUUUUUUCCAUUCACUAAUUAAACACAGUUCAAUACCAACACAUACUUUUCUCAUUCAAUUUAUUUAUUUAUUUAUUUUUUUAAAUUCAAUUCAACAAAGUCACUUACCUUAUCGUAUGCUUACCAUACACAUAAUUUAAACUUCACAUCAAAUAAUAAAUUAUUUGAAUUAUAGUAAUACAAACCCGAUUUUUGCUCGAUUAUUCUUCAAUAACCUUCCCUUUCCUUUGUGUGCCGAUGCCUCGAGUUCCUUGUUAGCUAUGAGAAUAAUAAUGAUUUACACCAUCAAUUACAACAUUAAUUAAUAAUAGUAAUAGAAUUUCUAUCUAAUUUAUACUUUAAUUCCAAUUUAAUCCUAACUAAAUUUAUUUACUUUUCUAAUUUAAUUCACACUCUAUUUCUAUUCAAAUUUCUUCUAACUCAAAUUUAACUACCAAAUUUUCAGCAUAUUUCAUUAAUUUCGAAUUUUCCUCAAUUUAAUCCCUACAAACAUAAAAUUUAUAGCUUACUUCACAAUUUAAUCCUUUUAUCAACUCUAACUAGAAAUUCUAUCAAAUAAACCCUCAAUUUCAUCAUUUAUUCAACAUAAACCCUACUCAUAAAUCUAUUAACUUUCAAAUUUUCAACUUAAAUCCAUGAGUAUUUCACUCUAGGGUUCCAAAAACAUCGAAUUUAUGAGUAUUUCACUCUAGGGUUCCAAAAACAUCAAAUUUAAACUUCAAGCUUCAAAUCCCUAGUUUUCCCUUUUAUUUUUCUUUCCCCUUUCCUUCCUUUCUUUUUCGUCUGUUCUCUGUUUCUAUUCUGUUCUUCUUUUGUUUCUUUGUCUUUUUAUUUUACUUACUUUACUUUAUUUCUUUUAUUUUAACUAGUAAUAUUAAUAAUAUAUAUUAUAUAAAAAAAUCUUUUACUUAUUAUUUAAUUAUAUAUUUAUUUUUAUUACAAGUGUACCUAUGUAAUUAUUACUAUUACACUUAUCUUAAUCUUUACCAUACAUUUGUCAUCUAUUUAAUUUAUAUAAUAUAAUACAAUAUAAUAUAUAUAAAACAUAAAAAUAUAAGAUUUUUAUCACUUAUACCGUCCCAUUUCUUGUUAAUGGCUUAAUUUCCAUUUUAAUCCUUUUUAUUUUCUAUUAAUCUAUAAUUCAACUUUUACCCCUAGUUCAAUUUAGUCGUUUUUCCUAAUUUCUCUUAAUUAAACUAAAUUCACCUAAUUAAUACCUAAUUAAGCACUCAACUAAACUCUUAAUUACUUCUAAUAAUUAUUUUCGAACUCAAUUUACUAAGACGGAGGCCCGAUAUUAUACUUUUCCGAUGCCCGUAAAUUUUUGGGUCAUUAUAGUUGCCUUUAGUUUUAAUGCUUAACUAUGAUUAAUAUUUUAUGACAUAUCUUCAUUCUAUUAUUAAUGUAUUAUUACUUAUUUAAUUUAACUUAAAUAAAAAAAAUACUUAGAAUGGCUACAUUGAUAUAGUAUAAGUGUGAUAUUUUUGUUUUCUCAGCCUUUCAAUUUUAGUCUUCAAUAUAUAAUUUUAUGUUUAAAUUAUAUAGAUAAUUGAUUUAUCAUAAUUUUAUAAAAAAAUUACCAUACAUGAUGGUUAUCGGGUUUUGAGGUCACGGUUUUAUUUUCCCAAGUACGUUUGAAUAUCUUUAAAAUUAAUUUUAAAAUUAAUAAUUUAUGAAAAUUAUAUUUAAAAUUUUAAAAAAUAUAUUUAAAAUAUUAUAAAAAAAACAAUAAAUUUGAAAGGUCAUAUCUUUAAAAAUAAUAUAUUUUAAAUAAUUUAAAAUCAUAAUUUAAAAUAAUUUAAAAAUCAUAAUUAUAGAAAUUAUAAAAAAAAUUAAAAUAUACAUUUAAAAUAUUAUAAAACUAAUAAUAAAUUAAUACAUUUAAAAUCGUUCUUAUUUCUAUUAUAAUUUGUAAAUAAAAAAUAUUUAUGAUUAUGACAUAAUAUAUACCAUGGUAAAAUACAUUAAUAAUUGGUGAUUAAUAAUAUAGGUGUCAUUAGUUGUUGAUCUAUCUAUGGAUGCAAUAAUAUAUAUAUGUAAUGGUGAGUUGAAAGUGUAAUUGGACCAAUUUUAUAUAAUUUGUAAAUGUGGAGGGUUAAUUUUAUUAAAUUGUUAAGAAAUAGGGCCAAAAUGAUAAAAUGUGCAAGUGUUGAUGACUAAAUGUGUUAAUAUAUCAAUUAAAAAAAGGCUACAUCAUCAUCCUUCUUUAAUGGAAAGUGACCAAAACAGAACUAACUGAAAAUGUUAGUGAUGAAAUUGAAAGUUUUUGUAAUUUGAUAGCUAAAACAAAAACAGGCAAAUAAUUGAGACCCUUUUUAUUUUUACAAUAAAUAUAAUCAAUAAGAUAAGAUAUUGAAUCCAGUUAAUAAUUUUAUUUUUAUUUUGGUCACUGAAAAUGAAAUACUUGUAAUUUUGUCAGCCAAUUAAGCAUUAAAUCUCUAAUGACGAUUAAUUGUACACGCCACAUCAAGUUAACACUUUCAUUUUGGUUACCCAAAAAAUAUUCUUUUUCUAAAUAUUGGUCAAGGCAAAAAAAUUAAAGAUUAAAGUGAAAAAAAAAUUAGAAUAGUAAUAUUUAAGCGACGAUUCGAUGAUCAAUACAAUGAAUUAAUACUCAACGACGAAAAGAAGAAUAUACCUUACAUCCAAGUCGAUCUGACGAUCAAUGUCGAAUAUCAAAGAAGAAAGCUGUUUGAAUUUUAAUUUAUAGAUUCGUGAUGUUUAAAGCGGUUUCAUGAAAAAAAAUUGAAGAGUAGAAGAGAAAAUGAAUGAAAGCUUUCGAUUAGUGCAAAAAAUGUAAACAGAGAAGACCAUAUACAACAAUAAUUUUAACAGGUUAGUGACUUGAAUGAAAACUUUCAAAUAAUUUUAUAAUCAUUUUAUAAUUAUGUGAUUAAAAUGUAAAUAUAUUAGUAAUUUAGCGAACGUGAUUUACCCUAAAAAAACAAUGUUAAGUACCAAGAUUGGAGCAGGACAUGGGAUUGCAAAUUUUGCAAGAGAGGAGGAUAGAGAGGGUGGUAUAAGCAUGCAAUCGAUUAAGGCGGAGUUGCUGAGUGUCAUCGCCUUGAUCAUGGUGUUGAAAACAUAAAUGUGAGGGUGGCUUUGGGAAUGAACAGCGAAUACGGAGUGGGCAUAGGCGGAGAAGCCCAGAGAAGAACGUGUUUCGAUGAAUUGGCUGAGAAGAAGCUUGUCGUGAUGGAGGGCUGUUCGAGCCAUGGAUCCAUGAGGCGUCUCAACAUGGUUAAGGUUAGAGCAAUGCUUUAGUAAGUAAAGCAAUCUCUGUCUCAUUCGCUAAUGCCACUAAGCUAAAAAGCAGCGCCAGUACUGUUCUUUCUAAUUCAUGCUGCAAUGGAGGACCUGAGCCAGAUCAUUUGUGCAAAGCUCUGGCUUAACGGUGUAAUUGAGUGCUGGCUCGAUACCUGGCUUUAGCUAAAUGGAAUACCAAUUUCUAAACUUGAGAAAGGAGUUUAUACUUAAAAAGAUUUAACUUAAAUUCAAACAUGGGUAGCUUAAUAAUAAUUGAAAAUAUAAUUUGACGAUAUAAGAAUAGAUUUAAAUAAAAAGUUUGAUCGGGAUUCUGAGCUUUGAAAUUGAUUAGAAUGCUGGAAUUAGAUUUGAAUGGAAUUACUUAAGCUUAAGCUCGACAUGAAUAAUUGGAGUUAUAUAGCUUGUAAAUCUCUUACUCGAAUCACCAAUUCAGCUAUGAAAUUAAAUAAAUAUAUCUUUUUUUAUCUUAUAAUUAAUAAUACCAACACGGGGGGGGGGGAUACAAGGAUAUUAUGUUAUUUUAAUAUAUUAUUAAUAUUCAUUAUGAUACCAACACCGGGGGGGAUACAAGGGAUUUGAUAGUAUGAGUGGAAGGAAAUAUAGACUCUUUUACAAACACAAAAAGGUUACAAAAAAGAAAACUAAAAAGCAAAGUAUUUUGUAAUUUACAAGAUGCUAUACAAUUGAGCUUUCCUCCCUAUUUAUAGAGGAAUUCUAAAAAUUUUAUACAAUCGUCUUUUGAAUCCCGAAUAGUGCUUCUGAUAAGGACUCGGCUUAUUUACGAAUGUGGUUGCUUCCACGUCUCAAGUCUUUUUGCAUGGCUAUGGUUGAUUCCAUGUGUCAUGCCUCCAUUUAAUGACCGCUUUCCUCACUGGUUGUGUCACGGCCGCUCUUGUCACUGCUUACAUCAUCAUUGUUUUAAUGAUGAUUAAGACUUUUUGUCUUCUUCAUUAAUGGUUGCCUCCAUCAUAAUUCAUCCAUCAAGAUGAUGAAUGGUAGAUAUAUUUUGAUGACAAUUUUCUCAUGUAUUUCUGUUUUGUUGCAGAAUACUAGAUGGAAAAUCUUCAAUGUCCAUGUCUGCUAUAUUUUUUAGCAGAUUGAUGCCGUCAUCAUUUUCUUCAAUAAGAUAUGAAUGAUAUGCUAAUAUCCUUCUUCCAUCAGUUCUAAAUUGAUAAUUUCUUUCUUGAAGAAGAUAUUUAGUUUUAGCCAUUAAAUCAACACCGGCUUGGAUCUGAUAAUAGCUUGAAUUAUCUUGACACUUGUCAAUUGUUGUUGCCAAGUAUUCUUUAUCUUCAUUUAAAGCAGAUAGUCGGGGGCUUCCGAGCAUUCUGUGAAUUUCCCAUAUUUGAUAUGGCUGAAAAUUUUUUUCUUUUUCAGAAAUACCAAUAAGAGUACUUAUUUGAAUAUAAAAAUAAUAGAAAAAGUCAUCAUUUUUUAUGAUGGUUUGUAAUAAAGAUUUGAGUACUGCUGGAAAAUCUUUUAAAAGAUGAAAAGAAAAGUUUUGUACUACUAUUUCUCUAGCAAAACCCCGUUUGAUACUUGUUAUAUCAAAUGGUUCAUGAUCCAAUCUAAAUUUUAUAGCUGGAUAUUCAUUACUUAUAAAUUUUGUAAAAACAUAAGAUUAUAGAAAAUAUUCAGAAAAUGAUUUUUGAUAUUGAAUUAUCUGCUGAUUACAGAUAGUUCUAUUGAUUUUGUUGAAUAUUUCUACUGGUAAAAUCUGCCUAGAUUUGUUAUAUAAACAGAUUCUAAAUAUCUUAUUUAUAAUAGGAGUAUUUUUUCCUUUAUAAAUAAAAUAUUGGAAAAUAUCAAGAAGAUUAUUUAUCUCCUCUAUUUCCAUAAAUUCUAUUUGGAAUUCGUCCCAUUCCCUGAAUAAAAUAGAUUUUAAUAAUAAAUCCUCGGCUUCAUUUUCUUUAGUUGUUUUUUCAACUAAAAAUAAUGAAAAUUUGGUAAGAGCUCUUCGGAAAUUAGCUCUUUGAUUUGAAAUAUGGGUUUUCCAUAUCUCAUUUAUAAAAUCAUAAAAUUCUGGUGACAAACCAGGAUUAUAAAAAUCUUUUAUUUUUGAAAGAUCUUUUUCUUCUUCAAUUUGUUGUUGUUUCAACAAAUUUUCUGAACUUUUGAUGAUUUCAGCAUAACUGUUUUGUGAUGCUAAAUUCGUAUUUUGAGACAUCGGUGAUUGAUACACCAUGUUUGAAAAUUUGCUUCCAACUGGUUGAUUUACCAUUGGAUAUUUUAAAACAUUUGGUCCAAGUGGUUGGUUUACCAUUGGAUAAGACACAUAAUAUAUUUGGUUAGGAUAGAAUGGUAUUUGUGCAGGUACAAAUCCUUUUUUGAAAUUUGAUUCUGCUUUCCCUUUGUUGGGCUUUUUGUGAACGGUAGUCCAUUCACCUACUAUUUCUUGUAGAGGCUUUUUACCUCUAUCCAUUAUAAGGCUUGCUAAAAAAAAAUCAACAAAUAUUAGUAAUAAGUUACAAAUAUUUAUUAAUUUUUUAUUAGUGUAAAUUUUUUAUUACACACAACUUUAUUAUCUUUUUCAAGUGAAAUUUCCACAAAGUCUUCUUUUACUAUAACCAAAUAGAAUGUUUAUCAAUAAUAAAAGGUAAAUAUUUACAUAUAAAAUUAUUUCCUAAUACAAUGUCUCCUUGCAUAUUAGGAAAACAUAAUAUUUUAGGAAUUAAAAAUCUAACAUUGUUUACGUAGAUUGGUAUGUUUUUAGCUUUAUAUUCUAUAAUAGUUUUACUUCCAUCUAUGUCUAUUAUUUUUAUAGGUUUUUUAACUAAUUCCCAUUUUUCUACAGGAAUCGCGUUUUUUCUGUAACUACAGAUUGUAGCUCCAGUAUCUAUUAAGGCAUUUAGAGAAUAUUUUUUAUAUUUUCUAAAUUGAAAUGUUGUUUUAAUGUUUAUUCCAACUUUUGACUUUUUAUCAAUUGUUGAAGUUUGAAUUUCUUUCAUUUUAGUUUUUCUAGAAUUAUUACUAGGAUUAGUAGGAAAUAUAGGAAUUUGAACAGUUUUCAUUCCUAUUGGUGUACUGUUUGUACUAAUAUUAUCCUCUUCUUCUUCUGGUUGAGAACUAGAGGGUAAAACUAAAUUUUCAUUUGUAUUAGUUAUAGAAUUAUUUUUAAAAUACAAUUUAUUUCCUGAUGACAUAUAUUCUAUAGUACUAACUGGUUUAGAAGUACUAGAACUAUUAAUUUUUUCCAUCAUCCAAUCUUUUGGAAUUGACAGGUCUCUUAAAUCUAAUAAUUUUGGCUGAAUUUCAGUAGUGAACCUGUUUGGUUCAAAGAGUUCAAUAAUUUUGUUAUUAAUCUCUUUUAUUUCUACUUCGGCUGUAUUAGUAUAUUCAUUAAUAGCAGUCCAGCUGAUUGCUAGAUCUUCUGCUAAAUCAUUGAUAUCAGAAUUUUUUGUCUGAAUUCUGAGACAAAAACACUCUUCUAUUAGAGGAUCCGUGAUAGAAAUAAAGUAAUUUGGUUUAACUUUAAAUCGUAUUACUCCUGUAUGUAAAUUAGACUGAAUUCCUCCAAUAAAUGCUUUUAUUGGAUUUUCAAAUCUUUUAUCUAAAAGGACAGCAAUUAUAGGAAUAUCAUGACCUCUUCUAAAUAAAGCUCUAAUAGUAAUCAUGAUUAUACCUAAAUGUAUAUAUCUAACCAGAGGAUAUUUCUUUCUAAUCCUCUUAAUUUUUUCUUUAGUAAAGAGAGGGAUUUCUGUUAAUCCUCCUUUAGUAUCUUUAGCGACGGUAUUACCUCUAAGUUUUUCUAUAUGUCUCUGUGUCCAUAUUUUGAACCUAGAGAUUUUAUAUAUUUCUUCUUUAGAAAUAUGAUUUUUAUUAAUCUUUUCUAUUAUUUCAUCAGAAAAGUCUUUUUCUUCUCCGAUCAAAUUUCCUAACUUAAUAUCCUGUGUUUCAGAAUUUGGAAUUUCUUCUAAUUGUUUAUUAGAACUACUUCCUAUAUUAAACAUAAAAAUAUAUUCAUCGUUACUAUCAGAAUCUGUUUCUGAUAUUAACUCAUAUAAUAUUUCUUCAGGAUUUGUUUCCUUUUGAAAACAUAUUUCUAAGUCUUGUUCUUCAAGACUUUUAAUCAUUUUCCUAGCAUUUUUCCCUUUAUUAGGACAAUUGCUAGCUAUAUGGCCUUCUUCGACACAAAUAAAACAUUUACAAAUUUGUUUCUUUAGUUUAGAAGUCUUUUUUCUAACCAUUUUUUGACUUUUACUAGAGAAUUUUUUAUUGCCUGGUUUCCAUUUUCUUAAUUUAUAUUUUUUACGCUUUUUAAAUGUAUUAGGAUAUAUUGGUUUACAUCCAAAUUCCCAUUCAUUUUCUAAAAUUUUAUUACAAUACCUAUCACUUAAUUUAUGCUUGACUUGUUUAGCAGCUUUACUUUGCAGACAAUGUAAAGUUAUUCUUUCACGUGCAAAGUUUAUCCUAUUGCCUAUAGUAUCUAUGUUUUCUAUUGGAAGCCCAGAUGAUUUAUUGUGCUUAUCUAAAUAAGAUACAUAUUUGUUUAUACAUAUCUCAUCCCAGGGUGGGGGUAAUUUAUGAAAAUAUUGGUUUUUCCAAAAUUCUAUAUUUUCAUUUUUUAACUUUUGAUAUUCAUGAAGAAAUUUUUUAGAAAAUUCUUCUAAAUAUCUAAUAUCACAUAUUUUAAUCUUUGAAAGAAUAUAACUAGCGGUACCAUCUUGAUCUUUUUUAUCAAAAUAAUCACAAAAUUCUGUUUUUAGAAUUAAUGUUAAUCCUUUUAAUAAAUCUUUAGGGGUUCCUAUCUGGUUGAUUAAUUGCCCCUUUUGUUCUUUACCUUUCUCAGACUCUUCCCAUCGUCUAAGAAACUGUAGAACAUCUCCUUGAAAUGUUCCAACAAAAUAAUUUAAAAAUUUUUCUUUUGACCAUGUGUUGUUGUUUACAACAAUAGUCAUUGACUGUGCCCAAUCAUCUAUAGUUUUUUCAUAGUUUGAAAUAGGAGUAUUAGUCAAAUCUAAAUAAAUUCCUCCUUGGGCCACAUUUCUUUUAUUUAAAUCAUCUAUUCUUUGUUGAACAGGUUGAUUAGACGUUUCACCUGGGUAUUCAGGUUUUAUCUCAUUUGUUGCUAUAUUUUCGGUUUUAUUACCAAAAAUUCUAAUUUUAUCACUUAUUUCAAAAUCUUUAUUUAAAUGUCUGAGAUAAUCAUCUGUUUGGCUAUCUGAUUCUAUUUUUCUUUUUCUAUAUGGAUCUGUUGGUUCAGUAUCCAUAGGUUCUGGAAUAUCUAUAUUUUCAUCUUCAGAUGAAGUGGUUUCCUCAUCAGUAUUAUAAGUCGAGACUUUUAUGUCUUCAUCCUGAUCUGUUGAAGUUUUUUCUUCAUCAGAUUGUUUCUUUAAUAAUUCUGUGUUUUCAGAAUUACUUGAGCUACUACUAUCAUCAUAUUUUAACAUAUAAUGAUAAUUAAACAUACUAAAUAGAUCUUUAUGUUUUUCAUAAAGUUCUUCUUCUAUUAGUUUUAAAUAUUCAACUCUUUCUAGUUGAUCAUUACUAUUAGUAAAUUUCUCUUUCCAAUGUUCUAUAAGGGUUUUAUAGGAUUGGAAAUCGUAUUCUUUUUGUUUUUUUAUUAUCUUUUUUACGUUUUUUAUGCUUUUUAUAAUUUUUUAACAUGGAUGUUGACUCAUCAAAAGAAGUGUUUUCUUCUUCAGAUAAAACUAAAGUAUGAUCUUUACCAUUACCGUAGUAUAAAGAACCUAAAUCUACAUCGGACUCAAUAUUAUUAUUAAAAACUUGAUCUAAUUUAUUAUUAACACUAGUUAAUAUUUCUUUAGACUCAUGGUUUAAGUCUAAAUCUUUUAUAUUACCUAAAUUAUUUACUUUUUCUUCUACAGAACUGACCUUACUAAAUAACCUACGAAAAUAAAAAGAAGUCAUAUCAAUAAGACUAUUUAGACCCUUACUCAGAGAUGAAAUGUUGUUUUCGUUUCUAGAGUCUAUAUGCGUAAUAUGAUCGCAAGUUUUAUCUUUAAACUGACACUCGAUUUGCUCCAUAAUGUUUGUUUCUGGUACCUAAGACCGUCUAUUAUCUUUAUCAUUUUCACACAACGCCUAAACGUCCUCCCUGGACUCAACGGCAACAAGAAGACAGAAUAACAGAUAUAUGGGUUUUGAAACAAACAACUGUGAAACAAACAGAAAUGUAAAUCAAAGAGUAAAACUUACAAUGGAUAUUACGAUAUUAUUUCUCCAGAAAGUCGUUACACCGGAACCUCUGAUACCAACAUGGGGUGGAUACAAGGAUAUUAUGUUAUUUUAAUAUAAAGAUUUGACUACUGCUUGAAAAUCUUUUAAAAGAUGAAAAGAAAAGUUUUGUACUACUAUUUCUCUAACAAAACCCCAUUCGAUACUUGUUAUAUCAAAUGGUUCAUGAUCAAAUCUAAAUUUUAAAGUAGGAAAUUCAUUAUCUAAAUAAUCAGUAAAAACAUAUGCUUGUAGAAAAUAUUCUGAAAAGGCUUUUUGAAAUUAUUUUUGCUGUCUGCAAAUCAUAUCAUUUAUUUUUGUGAAUAUUUCUACCGGUAAUAAUUUCCUAGCUUUAUUAAACAUACAUAUUCUGAAUACUUUAUUCAUAAUAGAAUUGUUUUUUCCUUUAUGAAUAAAAUAUUGAAUAAUAUCAAGAAAAUUGUUUAUCUCCUUAAUAUCCAUAACAAAGAGUCGGAAAUCAUCCCAAUCUCUAUAUAAAAUAGAUUUUAAUAAUAAAUCUUCAGCUUCAUUUUCUUUAGUUGUUUUUUCAACUAAAAAUAAUGAAAAUUUGGUAAGAGCUCUUCGAAAAUUAGCUCUUUGAUUUGAAAUAUAGGUUUUCCAUAUCUCAUUUAUAAAAUCAUAAAAUUCUGGUGACAAACCAGGAUUAUAAAAAUCUUUUAUUUUUGAAAGAUCUUUUUCUUCUUCAAUUUGUUGUUGUUUCAACAAAUUUUCUGAACUUUUGAUGAUUUCAGCAUAACUGUUUUGUGAUGCUAAAUUGACAUCAACCUUCUUGUCUAUUGUCGAGAUUCAUUUCUUCAAUCUCGUCCAAAUGUAAAGAAUCUGAUGAAAGUCUUGGUGGUGAAUUCCAAGCCUCCAAUGUUAGCUAUCUUUUUUAAUAGCUUCACAGAUUCUUCGUUUUUUUCUUCCUAGAUAUUUCCAUUAGGAAAUGCCAAUAUUCUUCUCCCAUCCGUCCAAAGUUUGUAAACUUCAUCAUAGAGAAGAUAAUGGGCUUGUGAUAUCAAAUCUAGUCCUGUUUGGACUUGAUAAUUAUCAAAUUUAUUAUAACAUUCAUCAAUAGUUUUUGACAAAUGUUCUUUGUCUUCAUUUACUGCAGAUAAUUGGGGGGGUUCCAAUCAUCUUUUUAAUAAUCCAAAUUUGAUACGGCUGAUAAAAUUUUUCUUGUUCAGCUAUACCAAUUAGACUACUAAUUUCAAUAUGAAAAUAGUAAUAAAAAUCAUCAUUGUUUAUGAUGUUUUGUAAAACUGAUUUUACAAUAGCUGGAAAAUCUUUUAAAAGAUGAAAAGAAAGAUUUUGCACAACUAUUUCUUUGGUAAAACCCCCAUUCAAUAUUGGUUAUAUCAAAUGGUUCAUGAUCUAAUCUAUAUUUUAAAGUAGGAAAUUCAUUAUCUAAAUAAUCAGUAAAAACAUAUGCUUGUAGAAAAUAUUCUGAAAAGGCUUUUUGAAAUUGUUUUUGCUGUCUGCAAAUCAUAUCAUUUAUUUUUGUGAAUAUUUCUACCGGUAAUAAUUUCCUAGCUUUAUUAAACAUACAUAUUCUGAAUACUUUAUUCAUAAUAGAAUUGUUUUUUCCUUUAUGAAUAAAAUAUUGAAUAAUAUCAAGAAGAUUGUUUAUCUCCUUAAUAUCCAUAACAAAGAGUUGGAAAUCAUCCCAAUCUCUAUAUAAAAUAGAUUUUAAUAAUAAAUCUUCAGCUUCAUUUUCUUUAGUUGUUUUUUCAACUAAAAAUAAUGAAAAUUUGGUAAGAGCUCUUCGGGAAUUAGCUCUUUGAUUUGAAAUAUGGGUUUUCCAUAUCUCAUUUAUAAAAUCAUAAAAUUCUGGUGACAAACCAGGAUUAUAAAAAUCUUUUAUUUUUGAAAGAUCUUUUUCUUCUUCAAUUUGUUGUUGUUUCAACAAAUUUUCUGAACUUUUGAUGAUUUCAGCAUAAUUGUUUUGUGAUGCUAAAUUUAUAUUUUGAGACAUCGGUGAUUGAUACACCAUGUUUGAAAAAUUGCUUCCAACUGGUUGAUUUACCAUUGAAUAUUUUAAAACAUUUGGUCCAAGUGGUUGGUUUACCAUUGGAUAAGACACAUAAUAUCUUUGGUUAGGAUAGAAUGGUAUUUGUGCAGGUACAAAUCCUUUUUUGGAGUUUGAUUCUGCUUUCCCUUUGUUGGGCUUUUUGUGAACGGUAGUCCAAUCACCUGCUAUUUCUUGUAAAGGCUUUUUACCUCUAUCCAUUAUAAGGCCUGCUCAAAAAAUCAGCAAGCAAAUUGUCAUCACUUUUAAUAAAAAAACUUCAAAGUUAAAAGUACAUAAAUCAUUAUACCACUUAAUUCUUCUAGGUAUAGUUCCUAAACUGUUAUUAGUUAAAAACUGUUUAACUGCUUGAUUAUCAGUUCUUAUAAUAAACUUUUCGGGUGCUAAAUAAAUGAGGAAAGUUUUUAUUCCUUUUUUAAUAGCUAAUAGUUCUUUUUCAUAAAUAAUAUAAUUAACUUCAUUUGGUUUAAAUUUUCCUGAACUAUAUCCACAUAUAAGUUCUUCAUUAUUAGCUGUUUUAGCUUUUAAAAUACAUCCCCAAUAGUAUUGCGAUGCAUCUGUUUCUAAAAUUAGUUUAUCUCCUGUUUUAAGCAAAUAAACUUUUGGAUUGUAAGUAAUUUCUUCUUUUAUAUUUUUUAUAACUUCUUCAUCUUGUUUAGACCAACAAAAGCAAAUAUUCUUUUUUAAUUUAUCAUAUAAUAUACCUGUUUUUUCAGCUAAUUUUGGAAAAAAGUUUCUUCCAUAAUUAACUAUUCCUAAAAAUUGUGAAAGAUGUUUUUUAUCUUCAAUUUUUUCAGGAAAUUCUUUUAUUUUUACAAUAAUAUGAUCUUGAAGUUGAAGACCAUGUGCAGAUAGUUUUAAUCCUAAAAAUUCAAUUUCUGUUUUUUCUAGCUCUAUCUUUUUAGGGCUUAAUAUAAUUCCAUGUUUUAGGAAUUCUUGAGAAAUAAUAUUUAGUGCUUUCUAUGCUCUUCAAGUGUUUUUGAAAAGACUAAGAUAUCAUCUAUAUAUACCACGCAAAAUUUUUUAUACAAUUUACAAACACAAAAUUCAAAUAUCGAAUGUGUAUUGAGUUUUUUCAUGAUAUAUAAAUAUAUUAAAUUUAAUAUUUAAUUAGGAUAUUUGAAUUCGACUCGAACACAAAUACAAUAAUUAAAUAAAAACAAACUUACCUUUAAAAUCGUAGUUUUUCAUGCUAUGCUACGCUUUUCUCUACUGCUAUACCCUUAAAAAACUUUUCUUCUUUGAUUAACCUACACAUACAAAAUCUCUUGAAAAUGGCGCCGCUCUCCAAUGAUAUGAUUCUUGACAUCUUUCGGUGUUUAAGUGUAAAAGAUCUUUCACGCUUUAAAUGCGUUUCAAAGUUCUGGUGUUCUUGGAUCGAGGAUCAAAAUUUCAUCAAACUUCACCUCUCCUAUUCCCUCAAAACCAAUACCAAUCGCUCCCUUAUUCUCCGUCACCGUAGGUACGAGAUCUUCUCCGUCAACUACGACUCACCCAAAACAACUCGAAGACUCGAGCAGCUUGAACAAAACAAAAACAUUCAAAUAUUGGGUUCUUGCAAUGGUUUGCUGGCUGUAGAAGAACAGAACGGUAGAAUUUUACUAUGGAACCCUUCAACGAGAAAAUGCCAGGUAUUACCUUCGGCUAAAAUAGUGUUUUCACCUCCACCGGCAUUCUAUUCCUGUUCAACUUAUUCCGGAUUUGGGUACGAUCCCGUUUCUGAUGACUACAAAUUGGUUCUAAUUGUCCAAUUACUUGGAACAUAUGAAGAAUAUCUUCAUUCUGAAGCUAAGGUUUACAGCUUGAGGAGCAAUUCUUGGAGAACGAUUAAAGGUUUCUGCUUUUAUUUUAUUUCCGAACGACAAUUAGGGGUUGUGGCUAACAAUGUUUUACAUUUGUUGGCUUUUAAAAUUCCCGAAUCGAGUAAGAGAAGCUCUGUUGAUUUAGAUGUGUUCGCUUAUAAAAAUCCCGAAACGAGUUAUAAACACCUUGUUGGUUUUGAUCUUUGGAGCGAGGAACUCAGUUUAGUUGAAUUGCCGGAUUUUUGUUUAGAUGGGGAAGCCAAUGUCGACGUAAAAGCCCUGGGAGGUUACCUCUGUUUGACUGCAACUCAUAGGGACAUGUUUGUUUCGGGUGAUCUAUGGAUAAUGAAGGAAUAUGGGGUUAAAGAAUCUUGGGUUAAAUUGAUAUCGACUACCCAACUUGACUUUCUUCCAGGUUCUCCAUUUGUAGUACCUUUGGCUUUUUCAAAGAAUGGUAACAAAGUAUUAUUCCACAAGAAAAGCUGUAAGGGCGACAUGGACAGGGACAGUCUUGUGUGGUAUGAUCUGGGAAGCGAAAGGGUUGAGAAGGUUGGGAUUGAAGGUCUUCCACUUGCCUAUGAUGUGUACUUGUAUGUUGAGAGCCUUGUCCCUCUUAAUGACAAUGUCCCUCGUAAAUACAGUCGCCCCAUAGGUAAAUUUUCUGUAUUUAAUUGCAUUUCUCUUUGUUAUGUUAUGAUUUUCCAUUUAUAUUUUUCUUUCUAGAAAUUAAAAUAGAUGUGUUUAACAUAGCAUUGAAUAACCUUUUUUAAAAUGUUAGUUAAUAAAAAAUAUACUUGUAAAUCAAAAAAAGUAGAUUCACCCAAAACAGUGAUGUUAUAAUUAGAGCCUUUUAUGUUGAGAGCCUUGUCCCUCUUAAUGAGAAGCCCCAUUGAGGUAAUUUUUCUUUACUUAAUUGCUUUCUUUUAUGGAAAUAUGUGUUGCAAUAUGAAUUUCCAUUCAUGUUUCUCUUUGUAGAAAUUAAAAUAAAUGUCUUUAACAUCCAAUUAUAGUACCGAUUAACUUUUUUUUUUUGAAUGACAGCUCUAGAACCUCGAGAAAAACGUAUGGCAGAUCUAGAAGCUCGUAAAAAACGUAUUUCUACAUCAAAAAGUAGAUUUGUGAAUAACAGCUGGAGAAAAGCGUACUUCUACGGCAAAAGAUAAAUUUGUCUAAAAAACUUUACUCUUUACUUGAUGUUAUAAUAAGAGAAAAGAUAUGAAGGUUUCUCGAUUACUUUAUGAGUAUGGUAUUAUUAUUUUUAUGUAUUGGAGGAUGAUAUUAUUAUAUUUUUAUUUGGUAUCACUUUUAUAUUUAUUAUUAAAUAAAUUAACAUUGAAUAGAAAAUAUUUUCUUUCUUGUACCUAUUUCUUAUAUUACUCAAUUGAUCAAGUGUUUGAAAUCGUUCUUAUUUCUAUUAUAAUUUGUAAAUAAAAAAUAUUUAUGAUUAUGACAUAAUACCAUGGUGAAAUACAUUAAUAAUUGGUGACUAAUAGUAUAGGUGUCAUUAUUUGUUCUUCUAUCUAUGGAUGCAAUAAUAUAUAUAUGUUAAUGGUGAGUUGAAUGUGUAUGUAGACCAUAUUUAUAUAAUUUGUAAAUGUGGAGGGUUAAUUUUAUUGAAUUGUUAAGAAAUAGGGCCAAAAUGAUAAAAUGUGCAAGUCUCGAUGACUAAAUGUGUUAAUAUAUCAAUUAGAAAAAGACUACAUCAUCAUCCUUCUUUAAUGGAAAGUGACCAAAACAGAACUAAUUGAAAAUGUUAGUGAUGAAAUUGAAAGUUUUUGUAAUUUGAUAGCUAAAACAAAAACACGCUAAUAAUUGAGAUCCUUUUUAUUUUUACAAUAAAUAUAAUGAAUAAGAUAAGAUAUUGAAUCUAGUUAAUAAUUUUAUUUUUAUUUUGGUCACUGAAAAUGAAAUACUUGUAAUUUUGUCAGCCAACUAAGCAUUAAUCUCUAAUGACGUGUAAUUGCACACGCCACAUCAAGUUAACGCUUUCAUUUUAGUCACCUCAAAAAUAUUCUUUUUCUAAAUAUUGGUCAAGGCAAAAAAAAUUAAAGAUUAAAGUGAAAAAAAAAUCGAAUAGUAAUAUUUAAGCAACGAUUCGAUGAUCAAUAUAAUGAAUUAAUACCCAACGACGAAAAGAAGAAUAUACCUUAAAUUCUAGUCGAUCUGACGAUCAAUGUCGAAGAUCGAAGAAGAAAGCUGUUUGAUUUUUAAUUUAUAGAUUCGUGAUGCUUAAAGCGGUUUCAUGAAAAAAAAUUGAAGAGGAGAAGAGAAAAGGAGUGAAAACUUUCGAUUAGUGCAAACAAUGUAAACAGAGAAGACCAUAUACAACAAUGAUUUUAACAAGUUAGUGACUUGAAUGAAAAUUUUUAAAUAAUUUUAUAAUUAUUUUAUAAUUAUGUGAUUAAAACGUAAACUUAUUAGUAAUUUAGCGAACAUGAUUUACACUAAAAAAAACAAUGUUAAGUACCAAGAUUGGAGCAGGACAUGGGAUUACAAAUUUUGAAAGAUAGGAGGAUAGAGAGGGUGGUAUAAUCAUGCAAUAGAUUAAGGCGGAGUUGCAGUGUGUCAUCGCCUUGAUCAUGGUGUUGAAAGCAUAAUGAACAGCGAAUACGGAGUGGGCAUAGGCGGAGAAGCCAAGAGAAGAACGUGUUUCGAUGAAUUGGCUGAGAAGAAGCUUGUCGUGAUGGAGGGCUGUUCGAACCAUGGAUCCAUGAGCCGUCUCAACAUGAUUAAGGUUAGAGCAAUGCUUUAGUAAGUAAAACAAUCUCUCUCUCAUUCGCUAAUGCCACUAAAGCUAAAAAGCAGCGCCAGUACUGUUCUUUCUUAUUCAUGCUGCAAUGGAGGACCUGAGCCAGAUCAUUUGUGCAAAGCUUUGGCUUAACGGUGUAAUUGAGUGUAGGCUCGAUACCUGGCUUUAGCUAAAUGGAAUACCAAUUUCUAAACUUGAGAAAGGAGUUUAUACUUAAACAUGGGUAGCUUAAUAAUAAUUGAAAAUAUAAUUUGAUGAUAUAAGACUAUAUUUAAAUAAAAAGUUUGAUCGGGAUUCUGAGCUUUGAAAUUGAUUAGAAUGCUUGAAUUAGAUUUGAAUGGAAUUACUUAAGCUUAAGCUCGACAUGAAUAAUUGGAGUUAUAUAGCUUGUAAAUCUCUUACUCCACCAAUUCAGCUAUGAAAUUAAAUAAAUAUAUCUUUUUUUUACUUAUAAUUAAUAUUAUUAUAAUAGGACUUUUUAUGUGUUUACAACAUCUUUAAUUAAAAAUUCAAAAAUCGAAUGUGUAUUCAGUUUUUUCAUAAUAUAAAAAUAUAUUAAAUAAAAAAAUUGAUUAGAUUCAAUAUUUGAUUAGGAUACUUGAAUUCGACUUCAACAGAAAUACAAUAAUUAAAUAAAAAUAAACUUACCUUUAAAAUCAUUGUUUUUCAUGCUAUGCUUUUCUCUACUGCUAGACCCUUGAAAAACUUUUCUUCUUUGAUUAACCUACACAUCCAAAAUCUCUUGAAAAUGGCGACCCUCUCCCAUGAUAUGACUCUUGACAUCUUACGCUGUUUAAGUGUAAAUGAUCUUUUACGCUUUAAAUGCGUUUCAAAGUUCUGGUGUUCUUGGAUCGAGGAUCCAUAUUUCAUCAAACUUCACCUCUCCUAUUCCCUCAAAACCAAUACCAAUCGCUCCCUUAUUGUCCGUUACUGUAAGUACCAGUUCUUGUCCGUCGAUUACGACUCACCCAAAACAACUCGAAGUCUCAAGCAGCCACUCAGUGAGCAAAAAAAAUACAUUCAAAUAUUGGGUUCUUGCAAUGGUUUGCUGGCUGUAGAAGACGACGACGGUAGAAUAUUACUAUGGAACCCCUCAACGAGAAAAUACCAGGUAUUACCUUCGACUGAAAUAGAGUUUCCAUCUCCUCCGAUACGCUGUUCCCGUUCAACUUAUUACGGAUUUGGGUACGAUCCCGUUUCUGAUGACUACAAAUUGGUUCGAAUUGUCCAAUUACUUGGAGCAAAGGAUGAAUAUUUUCAUUCUGAAGCUAAGGUUUACAGCUUGAGGAGCAAUUCUUGGAGAAGGAUUAAAGAUUUCUGCUUUUAUUUUAUUUCCUAUCGACAAUUAGGGUUUUUGGCUAACAAUGUUUUACAUUUGUUGGCUUUUAAAACUCCCGAAUCGAGUAAAAAAGACCUUGUUGGUUUUGAUCUUCGGAGCGAGGAAUUCAGUUUAGUUGAAUUGCCAGAUUUUUGUUUAGAUGAGAAUAUCUAUUUCGACGUAAAAGCCAUGGGUGGUUACCUUUGUUUGUCUGCAACUUAUUGGGAAUUAGGUGACAUUGUGGCUGAUGUAUGGAUAAUGAAGGAAUAUGGGGUUAAAGAAUCUUGGGUUAAAUUGAUGUCGUCUACCUAUCCUGACCUUCUUCUAUGUUCUCCAUCUGAAGUACCUUUGGCUUUUUCAAAGAAUGGUGACAAAGUAUUAUUCCACUUUAAACUCAAUCGGGACAGAAGGGACAGUCUUGUGUGGUAUGAUUUGGGAAGCAAAAGGAUUGAGGAGGUUGGGAUUGGAGGUGUUCCAAUUGUCUAUGAUGUGGACUUGUAUGUUGAGAGCCUUGUACCUCUUAAUCAGAAGCCCCCUAGAGGUAAUUUUUCUUCAUUUAACUGCAUUCUUUUAUGGAAAUAUGUGUUGUGUUUCUAUUAUUUGUAUUUGUAAGUUGCAAUAUGAAUUUCUCUUUCUUGAAAUUAAAAUAGAUGUCUUUUAACAUCCGAUUAUAGCACUGAAUAACCUUUUUUUUGAUGACAGUUCGAAAAAAACGUACUUCUACAUCAAAAAAGAAGUUUUGUCCAGAAAGAGGUAAAUGUUAAGCGAAAUUUGUUUCUCGAUUACUUUACGAGUAUGGUAUCAUUAUUUUUAUGUAUUGGAGGAUGGUAUUAUUAUAUUUAUAUUUGGUGUUAUAAUUAAAAAUCUAAAAAUUGAACAUGUGUUCAAUAAUAUUAAAUAUUAAAUAAAUUAACAUUGAACAGAUAAUAUUUUCUUUCACCCAUGUAAUGUAUGCGAUAAAAUCUAGUAUAUAUUAAACAACACAAAUACCAUGUAUUUCAUUUUAUUUAUUUAUUUUUAUUUAAUUCCUUUUUCUUUUAUGUAUAUGUGUUUCUCAUAUUACUAAUUGAUUUAAGAGUUUAAAAUCACUCUUAUUUCUAUUUAUAAUUUGUAAAGAAAAAAAAAGAUUUAUUCAAUUGAUUAAUAAUUUGUAUUAGUUGUUAUUUCUAUUAAAGUUUGUAAAUUUAUGAUUAUGACAUAAUACCAUGCUGAAAUACAUUAAUAAUUGGUGACUAAUAGUAUAGGUCUCAUUAUUUGUUGAUCUAUCUAUGGAUGCAAUGAUAUAUAUAUAUAUAUAUAUAUAUAUAUAUAUAUAUAUAUAUAUAUAUGUUAAUGGUGAGUUUAAUAUGUAUGUGGACCAAAUUUAUAUAAUUUGUAAAUGAGGAGGGUUAAUUUUAUUAGAUUGUUAAGAAUUUAGACUAAAAUGAUAAAAUGUGUAAGUGUUGAUGACUAAAUAUGUUAAUAUAUCAAUUAAAUAAAAGCUAUAUCGUCAUCAUACUUUAAUGGAAAGUGAUCAAAACAGAACUAACCGAAAAUGUUAGUGAUGAAAUUGAAAGUUUUUGUAAUUUGAUAGCUAAAACAAAAAACAUGCUAAUAUUUGAGACUCUUUUUGUUUAUACAGUAAAUAUAAUCAAUAAGUUAAGAUAUUAAAUCUAAUUAAUAAUUUUAUUUUUAUUUUGGUCGCUCAAAAUGAAAUACUUGCUAUUUUGUCACCCAACUUUUAAAACACUUUUAUUUUAGUCACCCAAACAUUAAAUCUCCAACGACGAUUAAUUGUACACGCCACAUGAAGUUAACGCUUUCAUUUUGGUCACUCAAAAAAAUAUUAUUUUUUAAAAUAUUGAUCGAGGCAAAAAAAAAGAUUAAAGUGAAAAAGUUCGAAUAGUAAUCUCUAAGCGACAAUUCGAUAUCGGUACAGUGGAUUAGCACCCAUUGACGAGUAGAAGAAUAUACCUUAAAUCCAAGUUAGUCGAACGAUCAAUAUCAAAGAUCAGAGUAGAAAGGUAUUUGAAUUUUAAUUUAUAAAUUCGUGAUGCUUAAAGCAGUUUCAUGAAAAAAAAUUGAACAGUAGAAGAAAAAUGUAAUGAAAGCUUUCGAUUGGUGCAAGCAAUGCAAACAGAGAAGGCUAUAUACAAUAAUGAUUUUAACAAGUUAGUGACUCGAAUGAAAACUUUCAAAUAAUUCUAUGAUCAUUUUAUAAUUCAGUGAUCAAAACGUAAACUUGUUAAUAAUUUAGUGAACUAAGUGUGGUUUACCCUAAAAAACAAGAUUAAGUACUAAGAUUGGAGCAGGACAUGGGAUUGCAAAUUUUGCAAGAGAGGAGGAUAGAGAGGGUGGUAUAAUCAUGCAAUAGAUUAAAUUGUAGUGUCUCUGUUUUGUUAUGGCUAUGGAUUUUUAACAUUCAUUUUUAUUAUGUAGACAACAGUAUUUCCCUUCCAUUAGCUGAUCCCAACUUCCAUGGCCACACUUCACUUAACGCAGCCACCCAAAACAAAACAUUCAUCAUCGAUACCCAUAAGCGAUCAACUUUGGGUCAUUUUCUUUUUCCCUAAUGAUGGAGGCUUUGAGCAGUACCUUCAAUGACUAUGAAUAGACAGAAACAAAAGAUAACAGAAAAAUAUGAAAAAUAGAAGAAGAGAAAAGUAUUUUAAUCUUUAUUUCAUAAAACUAAAAACCUACCUUUUACAUAGAAGACUUCACUAUUUAUAGGGAACUAAGAUAAAUAACUGAAGCAGCAACGAGUUAGCUAAAUUAGUCUUACUAACCACCUAAUCAUGACUUAUAAUCCUAUUAUCAUCAUUGUUCUCUCCUUCUACUAAAGUAGAUAGACAUGAAGAGAUUUCAUCAGUAGAAGCAACACAAAGCUGAUGCUGCAAGUGAGUAAAAAAACCAGCUGCCAGUGGCUUAGUCAGAAUAUCUGAAAUUUGAUGUAUAGCCGGAUCAUAAUGAACAUCAACUUCACCAGCAGCCACCUUUUUGCAGACAAAACACAAGUCUAACUCCGCAUGCUUCAUCCAAGUAUGUUGCACUGGAUUGCUAGAGUGUGCAACGGCACUAGUUUUAUCACACCAAAUGAUCGGAGGUUAAGCAACAAGUUGAAUUCCCAUCUCAGUCAACAAUGAUUUCAGCCAAGCUAUUUCACACACAAUAUUGGCAACACUUCGUAAUUCAGCUUCUGUAGACGAUCGUGCCAUAACACUUUGUUUCUUGGAACUCCAUGCAACUAUGUUGUUACCAAGAAACAUAGAAUACCCAGCUGUAAAACGACAAUCAUCAAUGUUGCUUCCCCAAUCUGGGUCAGAGUAAGCUGUAAUGUGUAAGGAGGGACAAGGUCAAAAGACAAGUCCAUGUUGUAGGGUGUAGGAUCGCCGGCACCCCUACGGCGCAGCGAAAAAUUUAAUAAUUAGCGACCCUAACCACGGAUCCAUGUGUGAGGAACGAAUCGGGGUCAAAAAGGUUACGAAAUUACCUAAUGUUUAAUCUGAGUAGACAACAACUUCUAAACCACGUGUAGUCUGAUCUACAGUCGAACCAAGCCGCAAUCUAUCGAGACUCCGACCUCUACGUAAUCCAUUCAGUUGACUACGAACGGAAGAAAUCCCAAAUCAAUUUUCAAAAGUGGUCUUUCUUUGACGGCUGCUAGACCCUUAAACAAAGAAAAACGGGAUUCUUAUAUAUCCUUUUAAUUUUUAGGGUUUUUAGGAAUUAAAUAAAUAUAACAAUAUUUUAAACCAAAAAUUAUAAUUACAUUAAUUAUAAUAUAAUUUCGGUAAACCAUAUAUUUAUUUUAAUUCAUAUGCUAACCAAAUUCAUGUCCUCAUUAUGCGUACAACAACCUUGUACAUAAUGUGUUGGAAAUUUGAUUACCGAAUUAAAUUAAUUCUAUAAUUAAUUUAAUUCAAGCGACACCCAAAAAAUAAUACCAACUAUGGUUUAUUCCAUUCAUUUCAACUAUAGGGUGUGACCCUGUAGGUUUCUGUAACGUUAGCAGUAAUACUAGAACGAUUCCAAUGUUACAAACAAUGAGUGGCAUCUAGCAAUGCAUCAUUGCUACCUAAGUCACAAGAGAUCAUGAUUCGACAUAACCUUUUAUGAUUAACCUUUUAUGCAAUAAUCCUUAAGUCUUUUAUCUCUGGAUUGGACACAAGUCAUGGAAUAGUCACACUUGUAUAGUCCAUUCCAUGUUCCUUGAUAUCUUAAGUAGACUACGAUAUACAAAUAAGUAUGACAUCUCAUAUCAACUUAUUUGAGCAUGGCUAUGCAUUUCUAGUCUCACUUAAUCAAGUGGCCUAAGAUAUUACUCCCAUUAUGUAGGAGAGACUUAUUCUAUAUCGACCAACCAUAUCCCUCUACAUUGAUUGUGGUAUAUCCAACAUCAGCCUUUAUAGAACUUGUUACGGUGUACGUUUGACUGUAUCAAAUUGUACUACUCACGAUGUUGAGAUUAUGAUGAUCUCAAGUCUGAGGAUCAUAUACAUAUUAAUCAUUAUGAGUAAUGUCGUGACAAUUACAUAAUAAUCCAAGAAACAUACUCAUAAUGGGUCAGUCCAAUAUGUUGUUCUCUAACACACAUAUUCAUGCAUCGAUUCUGACAUUCCAUAUCAAUGAUAACACUUUAUCAUCAAUCAACUACAGGUUAGUCUUAAUGCAUUAUCGUUGUCCUAUCCAAUAAUACUUGACUAAGGAUCUUUUAAGAAUAAUCACAUUAUUCUUAGGACAUUAAUAUAAAACAGUUUAUUUAUACACACAGAAAAGAAACUGAAAUAAUAAUGGUAAUGCCUUAUAUUAAUAAAUAUGAUAAAUCAAGUAUGUUAUUACAACCAUCUCAUGAUUGAUCUUUGGGCAUACUCUAACAUAAGGUACCUUUGAGAUAACAAACAAUCCAUUUUACCGCCUUCCAAUGCUUGUCAAGUGACAUUGCAUGUAGUGACUAACCUUAUUAACAUUAUAGGCAAUAUUAGGGCGUGUAAAGCAAAUGUGUUGGAGAGUACCUGCUGUUUGUCGAUAAAGAGUAAUGUCAAGAAACGGAUCUCCAUCAUAAGCCGUUAAAAGUGAUGUAGUAACCAUCGAAGUUGGUAACAGUGUGGCAUAAUUCAAUUUGAGUUUAUGCAAAAAAUCUAGAACAUGUAUAUAUUUUUACUGAAAACUAGACUAUCAGAUGUGUGAUGAACCUCCAUGCCUAAAAAAUAAUUGAGUUUACCCAAAUCCUUUAGCGAGAAUCGCUCAUGUAGAGCUGAGAUGAUGGAAUCAACAUCAUGCAAGCUGCCACCUGUUACAAUGAUAUUGUCAACAUAAACUGCUAAAUAAAGUUGACCAGCCUACUCCAAAUCGUUAAUGAAUACUGAGGAAUCAGCCUUGGAAGCUCGAAACCUGAGAUACCCAACAAGAAAUGAAGUCAGCUUCUCAAACUAAGCUCGUGGAACUGGCUUGAGCCCAUAGAUUUACUUGUGUAGUCGACAGACCAGUGGAACACCACGCUCAUCACAUUGCUCAAAACCCGGAGGUUGAUCCAUAUAUACUUCUUCAGUAAGAUCUCCCUUCAAGAAGGCAUUAUUAAUAUCAAUUUGUCUGAGUUGCCAAUUGUUGGUCAAUGCCAAAGACACCAAGACACACAUUGUAGGUUGCUUGAUGACCGGACUAAAUGUUUCUUUAUAAUCAAAACCAUUUGCGACGGGCUACCGACCCAUUUGCAUUUUUCUUUGUCUUAAAAAUCCAUUUGCAACCAACAUUGGUUCUAUUAUUCGGAAGAGAAACCAAACUCCAAGUUCCAUUGAAGAUGAGUGCACAGGUUAUGGCCCCUUAAGCCAGGGGUGCACCUACCACCAUGCACAACACCAGUAUACAUGCAAAUUAAAUAUUAGCUUUUUUUAGUGAAACAAGUUGCGAAUGUCGUUCAAUAUAUAAGAGGAUUUAAACAAAAUAAUCUCUCUUGAAAUAUGGGUCAAACUUGGUAAAAAUCUGUUUUCUACUUUUACAAUUAAUAUGAAUGUUUUUUAAAAAAUAGGCUAAACUACAGAUGAGGUCAUUUAGUAACUUUUUAAAAUUGAGUUACCAAAGUAUAAAAUUUCCAAUAGUUUAGAAACAUUAAAGGUAAUUUAACCAUAAUUUUAAAGAAAAUGUAAUAAUUAAAUAAAAAAGAAACUUACCUUUAAAAACAUUGUUUUUCACGCCAUGCUUUCCUCUUAUACUUUAAAAAAACAUUUUCUUGUUUGUUUACUCUUAGCCAUCUGAAAACCCUAAAAAUGGCCAGACUCCCACAUGAAAUGACCAGUGAUAUACUAUGUCGAUUAAGUGUAAAAGAUCUUCUACGCUUCAGGAGCGUUUCAAAGCCAUGGUGCCGUACGAUCGACGACCCAUAUUUCAUCAAACUCCACCUCUCCCAUUCGGUCAAAACCAAUACCAAUCACUCUCUUAUUCUCAGUCACGGGGAGGACAACUUCUUCUCCGUCAACUGCGCCCUGUUCGAAACUACCCAAAGACUCAACCACCCAUUCGGUGAUCAAAGAAAAACCCUUCAAAUAUUGGGUUCUUGCAAUGGUUUGCUGGCUCUAGUAGACGACAAGGAUAGAAUAUUUCUAUGGAACCCUUCAACUAGAAAAUUCCAGGUAUUACCUUUCAAUGAAAUAGGGUUCUCAUCUCCAUCUUCAACUUAUUAUGGAUUUGGGUACGAUCCCAUUUCUGAUGACUACAAAUUGAUUCGAAUGGUCCAAUCACAUGGAAACAAUGAUGAAUAUUUUCAUUCGGAAGCUAAGGUUUACAGCUUGAGGAGCAACUGUUGGAGAAGGAUUAAGGAUGUCUGCUUUUAUCAUAAGUUCAGUCGAGAAUUUGGGUUUUUGGCUAACAACGCUUUACAUUGGAUGGUUUUUAAAACUCCCCAAUCGCGUAAUCAAGAGCUUGUUGGUUUUGAUCUGGGGAGCGAGGAAUUCCGUUUCCUUGAAUUGCCGGAAUGUCGUUUAGAUAAGGUUUUAUGGUUUCACAUAAACGCCGUGGGGGGUGACAUUUGUUUGACUUCAACUUAUAGGGAAACCGAUAAUGUUGUGGUUGAUGUAUGGAUAAUGAAGGAAUAUGGGGUUAAACAAUCUUGGUUUAAGUUGAUAUCAUGGAAGGAACCCGACCUUAUUCCAUGUUCUACAGUUGCAUUACCUUUGGCUCUUUCAAAAGAUGGUGGCGAAGUUUUAUUCUUCAUUGAAUACAAGUGGUUUAAUUGGGGCAGAAGGAUCGACAGUUUUGUGUGGUAUUAUUUGAGAAGCCAAGAGGUUGAGAAUGUUGUGAUUAGAGAUAUUCCAACUUCAUUUGAAGUGAACUGGUAUGUUGACAGCCUUGUCCCUCUUAACAGUAAUGCUUAACAGUGAGAUGCCCCCAGAGGUAAAUUUUCUUUAUUUAACUGCAUUUUUUUUAUGCUUAUGGAUUUGCACUUAUAUUUGUAUGCUGCAAUUUGAAUUUCUAAAUAUUUUAUUGGUUUUUAUGCUAUUAGGUACUGUUUAACUGGUUUCUCGAUUCAAUUGGUCUGAAUUUAUUUGUGACUCAAUUGGUCUAGUGUCUCUUCUUGAAUCGAUAUCCUAAAAAUUAAUUUAAUUUCUUUCAUUUACGCAAAUAUGUGUUGCAUUUCUCUUUGUAUGUUGCUAUAUGUAUUUCCAUUGAUAUUGGGUUUUUCUAUGUUGUUAGGGAUGAUUUUCUGUCCAAGAAGCUUCACUUGGUGUUAUAAUUAGAGAAAGGAUAUGAGUUAAUUAAAUGUUAAACAAAGCUUGUUUCUAGAUUACUUUAAAUACAAGUAUUUUCAAUUUAUAUUUUUAUGUAUCGGAGACUCGUAUCAUUAUAUUAUUAAUUCCAAUUAAUGGAAGAAUUGGUUUGGUUUGAUUUGAUAAUAUAUUAUUAGUUUUUAUGUUAUUAGGUAAUGUCUUUAGAACCGAAUUAAUAGUCGGACCGGUCAUGUCGUCAAUUCCAAUUAAUGGAACAUUUGAUUUGGUUUUACUUGAAUUAUUUUGAUAUUUAUUCCUAAUUGAAAUUGUUUAGAAUUCGGAUAAUUUAUAUAUUGUUUUCAUUUGAGUUGUGUGGUAUGAUAUCUAAUAAGCAAAAGGGUUGAAUAUGUUAUGACCGGAGGUUUUCUCUGGUGUUUUGAUGUUAUAAGUUAGUUUUUCAAUUAUUUUGUGAGUAUCAUACAUGACUACAUAUUUUUAAUUAUAUUUAAUUGCAUUUUUGUUGUUGCUCAUAUUGAUUUGCAUUAUAUUUCUAUGGUGCAAUGUUCUUAGAAUUGAGUUAGUAGUCAAUUUGGUCAUACCAUAAAAGAGAUCAUAAAAAUCGGUUCAAUUAAUUUUCCGAUUCAAUUGGUUUGUAUUUAUUUGUGAGUCAAUCGAUCCAGUGUCUCUCCUUAAAUAGAUAUCUUGGUUUGGUUCCGUUCAAACAAACAUAUUGUUAAAGAAAUUAUACAAGUAUUUUCACGUGAUUAUCUGAUAUGAAUAUUUUCAAUUUAUGUUAUUUUUGAAUGUAUUUAGAGGACCACAUCACUAUAUUGAUAUUUGGAUUUGCUAGACAAGCCUGUGCUAAUCCUAAACCUUAGAAAUUAAUUUAAUUGCAUUCUUUUAUGUGCAUUUCUCUUUGUGUGUUCCGAUAUGAAUUUCCAUUUAUAUUGGGUUUGUCUAUGUUGCUAGGGAUGAUUUCUUCUAAAAUAGAAGCAUUUUUAUAUGAUUUUCUCAUUUCUAUUAUUUUUUUAUGCAAUUUGUAUCGUAGUAUAUAUAUAAUUAUAAUUUAGAAAAUUUAUUGGAAUAGAUAAGUAAUGACAUAAAAAAAUCAAUCAUUUUGUUUUAAAAAUAGAUGUCUUUAACAUCCAGCUAUAGCAUUGAAUUUUUUUUUUGAAUGGCAGUUUAAAAAAAAACGUACUUCUACAUCAAAAAAACAUUCGUCCAAGAAGAUUCACUUGGUGUUAUAAUUAGAGAAAGGAUAUGAGAUAAUUAAAUGUUAAACGGAGUUUCUUUCUCGAUUAAUUUACGAGUAUGAGAUACAAUUAUUUUCAUUUUAUAUUUUUAUGUAUUGGAGACUAGUAUCAGUAUAUUUACAUUUGGAUAUGGUUGUAAUUAAUGGAAGAAUUGGUUUCGCUUGAUUUCAAUUAAAGUUUAUGUAUGAUGUUAAUAUUUAUCCCUAAUUGAAAUUGUUUGGAAUUUGGAUAAUUUGUAUAUUGCUUUCAUUCGUCCCUAUUAAUCUUAGGCAUCAUUUCUUGUUUUUCAAUUAUAUUUUGAGUAUCAUAUGUGAAUAUAUAUUUUUAAUUAUAUUUAUGUCUGGAUAUGUGUCGAAAGCACAUGAAUAAUUGAAGUCAUAUAACUCUAUUGUAAUUAUUUAUAAUUAAUACAUAAAUUGAUUUAUUUAAAUAUUUUAUUGAGUUGGUGUCACUUUUAAUCCAGUCUCUGAUUCAGUUAUGUAAUUAAAGAAAUAUCUCUUCUUUAAACUUAUAAAUAAUAUUAUUAUAAUAACACUUUUCAUCUUUAAUUAAAAAUACAAAAAUCGAACUUAUGUUCAACUUGAACGAAACUACUCAAACUCAAGCUUAAUUUGAUAAUUACCAAAUAAACAUUGGUUUUGCUUUUUCACUUUUAUAAAAAAAAAACCUUUUCUUCUUAACUUAACCAUCCAAAAACCCUAAUAAUGGCAACCCCUCGCACGAUAUGAUCAUUGAAAUACUACGUACUUUAAGAGUAAAAGAUCUUUUGUUGAACACGUAUUCAAUAGUAUUAAAAGACAAAUUUGUUAUCAUUAUAUAUUGAAAUACUACGUGGUUUAUGUAUUGUAGGAUGAUCAUUAUAUUUAUAUUUGAUUUUAUAAUUAAAAAUCCAAAAAUUGAACACGUGUUCAAUAGUAUUAAAAUACAAGUUUGUUACCACUUCUAUAUUCAUUAUUAAAUAAAUUAAUAUUGAACAGAAAAUAUUUUCUUUUGCCCAUAUCAUGCGUGCCACAAAAUCUAGUAUACAUUAAACAAUCGAUAUAAUUUGCUUCUAACUUUAAAUCAAUUUUAUAUAUAGAAAAUACGAUUUUUGAUUUCAUUAAUCAUACAAAUUAGUAGAAUAAAAUAUAAUUAUAUAAAUGAAAAGUAUAAAAAUUUAAGUUGUUUAUGAAACAACAUUUUUGAUAAUGUUAGUUACGAAAUUUAAAAUUUAUAUAGUUGAAUCAGUAGUAAUUGGUAGCUACUUAAGUGAAUUUAAACUCGACUUGAUAAUUAUUAAAUCAAAUUUGAUUUAAAAUUAUUGUAUGGCCUUCUCUAUUCACAUAGCUGGUACUAAUAAAAACACUCUCUUUCCAAUAGUCCUAAGCCUUAACUCUUAUACUUUAAAGGGUAAAUUAUACCAACAGUCGCUCAAUUUUGGGGUAGCUGACAAAGCAAUCAUAUUGGUUUCAUUUCAGUCACUCAACUUUAGAAAAAUGACAAAACAAUUCUUUUUGCCGUUUUUCGUUACAGACGUAAUAGCAAAGUGACAUGGCAAAUGAUGACUUGCUUCGUGUCAUUAACUGUCCAACUGGCCGGUUAGCACCAAUUUAAACAACCCUAUUAGCAGCAAUUUAGGUUGAUGCAGUCCUAUCAACACCAAUUCAAUUUAUGUUUUUAUGUAUUGAAGGAUGAUAUCAUUAUAUUUAUUAAUAGUUUGAAAUUGUUCUUAUUUCUAUUUAUAAUUUAUAAAUAAAAAAGAUUUAUGAUUAUGAUAUAGGUGGCAAUCAUAAAUGUAAUACCAAUUCAGGAUUUUUUCUAAGCGGAGAUUAGAUACUUCAUUUUAUUGGUCCAACCAUGCUGAAAUUACAUUGUCAAAUUAAUUAGUUACCAUCUCAUGAACAUAAUUGUAUGAACUAGUCGGACUAAACAAAUUCAAUAUAAUUUGGUUCUAACUUUAAAUCAAUUUUAUAUAUAGAAAAUAUGAUUUUGGAUUUCAUUAAUAAUACAAAUUAUGAGAAUAAAACAAUUAUAUAAAUAAAAUUAUAAAUUCCAAACACAAGUAUUCACAAAAAAUUUCAAGAUUUCAAAUAUAAAAUAACAUUUUUUGAUAAUGUUAGUUACGGAAUUUAAAGUUUAUAUAGUUGAAUGACCAAAAUAGAAAUACACUAAUAAUUGGUGAUUAAUAGUAAAGGUGUCAAUAUUUGUUGAUCUAUCUAUGAAUGUAAUAUUAUAUAUAUGUUGAUGGUGAGUUGAAUGUGCAUGUGGACCAAAUUUAUAGAAUUUGUAAAUGUGGAGGGUUAAUUUUAUUAAAUUAUUUAGAGCUAGGACCAAAUUGACAAAUUGUGUAAGUGUCGAGGACUUAAUUUAUUAUUGUACCAGUUAAAAACAAGGUUAAAUCAUCAUCUUUCGGUAGCGAUUUAAUGGAAAGUGACCAAAACAAAACUGACCGAAAAUAUUAAUGAUGAAAUUGAAAGUUUUUGAAAUUUGAUAACUAAAACAAAAAUGUGCUAAUAAUUAAGACCCUUUUUAUUUUUAUAAUAAAUUGAUAUGUCUAUUUACGAUAAAUAUAUAAAUUGAUUUGUUUAAGCAUUUUACUGAGUUGAUGUAACUCUUAAUCGAAUCACUAAUUCGAUUAUGGAGUUAAAGAAAUAUCUCUUCUUUUUUAACUUAUAAUUAAUAUUAUAACAAUAACACUUUUCAUGUGUUUACAUUUAAUUAAAAACUCAAAAAUCAAACACGUGUUCAAUAAUAUUAAAAUACAUGUUUUUUUUCAUGAUAUAAAAAUAUAUUGAAAUGAAAAGUUCGGUUAGGCUUGUGAGCAUUUGAAUUGAUUAAGAUGAUUGAAUUUAACUUAACCAGAAUUGCUCAAGUUCAAGAUUGCAUUGAUAAUUAUCAAACUAUAUAAGAGGAUUCAGAUAAAAGUAUGACGCUAAAAAAUUGGCUCUAUCAAAAAACAACUUCACUUGAAAUAUGGGUUGAAUUUAGACUUUAACAUUCAAGGCGAGUUUGGUUGAACCUGUUUACAAUUCGAUUUAAAAAAAAACAGGGUAAAUUACACUUGAGGUCACUAAACUAUAGAUAAUUUUACGUUUAGUCACUUAGCUUUAAAAAAUUAUAAAAUGGCCAUUGAACUAAUCGAAAGUUUUCAUUUAAGUCUUUAAGAUGAUAAAAUCAUUGUUAUAUGGUCUUCUUUGUUCGCAUAGCUUACACAAAUCAAAAGCUAUCAUUCUUUGUCUCUUUUACAAUUCAUUUUAUUUCAUAACACAAUUGUGAAUGUUACAAAUUGAUGAACUAAGAUCCAAAUAGCUUUCUUCUUUGAUCUCCGACACUAACGUUAGAUUGACUUGGAUCUAAAAUAUGUUCUUCUAAUCAUCAAGGGGUACUAAUCCACCGUAUCUAUCAUUGAAUUGUCGUUUGGAGCUCACUAACCAGACUUAAGAAAAAAGAACAGCAUAAUGAUUUAAAUAAAAACUUUCUAAUACUUCAAUGAUCAUUAUGUAACUUUUAGAAGUUAAGUUAUCAAAACGUGAACGUUCCAAUAGCUUAAUGACAUUGUAUGCAAUUUACCCAUAACUUUAAAACACAUUUUUUAAAUAAAAAUGAAUCUUACCUUUAAAAACAUUGUUUUUCACCCCAUGUUUUUCGCUACUCCUAAACCCCAACUAUUAUAUUUUAAAAAAAAGCUUUUCUUCUUUGCUUACACUAACCCAUCCAAAAACCCUAACAAUGGCGACCCUCUCGCAUGAUUUGACCAUUGAAAUACUACGUGGUUUAAGUGUAAAAGACCUUCUACGCUUCAAGUGUGUUUCAAAGCUCUGGUGCUCUUCGAUUGAUGAUCCAUAUUUCAUCAAACUCCACCUCUCCCAUUCCCUCAAAACCAAUACCAAUCACUCCCUUAUUCUCCGUCGCUGGGGGUACGACUUCCUCUCCGUCAACUACGACUCACUCAAAACAACUCAAGUAAUCAAUCCCCCACUCACCAAUAGUCCCAUUAAAAUAUUGGGUUCUUGCAAUGGUUUACUUGCUCUGAUAGACGACAAGGAUAGAAUAUUUCUGUGGAACCCUUCAACGAGAAAAUCCCAGGUAUUACCUUCCACUGAAAUAGAAUUUUCAUCUACAUCGAUUAGCUCUGCCCCUUCAACUUACUAUGGAUUUGGGUACGAACCCAUUUCUGAUGACUACAAAUUGGUUCGAAUGGUCCAAUCACAUGGAAACAAUGAUGAAUAUUUUCAUUCUGAAGCUAAGGUUUACAGCUUGAGGAGCAAUUGUUGGAGAAGGAUUAAGGAUGUCUGCUUUUAUCUUAAGUUCAAUCGAAAAUUCGGGUUUUUGGCUAACAACGCUUUACAUUGGAUGGUAUUUAAAACUCCCCAAUCGGAUAAUAGAAACCUUGUUGGUUUCAAUCUCGGGAGCGAGGAAUUCCGUUUCCUUGAAUUACCGGAUUUUUGUUUAGAUAAGCUUUUUUGGUUUGGCAUAAAAGCCAUGGGGGUGACCUUUGUUUGACUGCAACUUAUAGGGAAAUCAAUAAUUUUGUGGUUGAUGUAUGGAUUAUGAAGGAAUAUGGGGUUAAGCAAUCUUGGAUUAAAUCGAUAUCAUGGAACGAACCCCACAAUAUUUCAGAUACUCCGGUUGCAGCUCCUUUGGCUUUUUCAAAAAAUGGCAACAAAGUUUUAUUCAACAUUGCAUACAAGUGGUGUCAUUUGCGCAAAAGAGACGGUAAGUUUGUGUGGUAUGAUUUGGGAAGCCAAAGGGUUGAGAAUGUUGGGAAUAGACAGAUUCCAACUUCAUUUGAUAUGGACUUGUUUGUUGACAGCCUUGUCCCUCUUAAUAGUAAUGCUCAACAAUGAGAUGCCCCCAUAGGUCAAUUUUCUUUAUCUAAUUGCAUUUUUUUAUGCUCAUAUGGAUUUGCAUUUAUAUUUAAAUUUUCAAACAUGUUAUUGGUUUUUACGUUAUUAGGUAACGUUUUCAUAAUUGGGUUAGUAGCCGAAUCGAUUACGAUUCAAUAAAAUAAAUUAUUAAAAAAAUUAUAAAAAAUUGAUAUAACUGAUUUUUCGAUUCAAUUGGUCUUAAUUUAUUUGUGAGCCAAUCGAUCUAAUAUCUCUUCUUAAAUAUGAGUAAGUUGAUUGUGAGAAAUGAGAUGAAGUAACGUAUUUGUAUGAUUUAGAGGACCACGGCACUUAUAUUUGGAUAAUUUAAUUGCAUUCAUUUAUGCAAAUAUGUAUUGCAUUUCUUUUUGUAUGUUGCAAUAUGAAUUUCCAUUUAUAUUGGCUUUUUCUAUGUUGUCGGAGAUGAUUUCUUCUAGAAUAAAACUAUUCUAUGCGAUUUUCCCAUAUCUAUUAUUUUUUAUAUAAUUUAUAUCGCGGUAUAUAUAUAUAUAAUUAUAAUUUAGAAAUUUUAUAGGAAUAGAUAUAUAAUGACAUCCAAAAUACCGAUCAUUUUGUUUUAAAAAUAGAUGCCUUUGACAUCAAACUAUAGUAUUGUAUAAAAAAAUUUUUGAACGGCAGUUCCCAAGAAACAUACUUCAUAAAAAAAAAGUGUAUUCAUCAAAGAAGCUUCACUUGAUGUUAUAAUUAGAGAAAUGAUAUGAGGUAAUUAAAUGUUAAACGAAGUUUGUUUCUCGAUUACUUUACAAGUAUGGUAUCAUUAUUUUUAUGAAUUGGAGGAUGGUAUCAUUAUAUUUAUAUUUGGUGUUAUAAUUAAAAAUCCAAAAAUUGAGCAUGUGUUCAAUAGUAUUAGAAUAUAAGUUUGUUAUCACUUAAUAUUAAAAUCAUUAUUGUAUGGCUUCUCUAUUCGCUUAGCUUGCACCAAUCAAAAGCUCUCAUGCUCUGUCUUUUCUCCAGUUCAUUUUAUUUCAUGACACAUAUUUGCGAUCCAACAUCCAAAUCGAUUUCUUCUUUGAUUUUCGACACUGACCGUUAAAUUGACUUGGAUCUAAAGUAUGUUCUUCUAAUCAUCAAGGGGUACUAAUCCACCAUAUCGACCAUUAAAUUGUCAUUUGGAGCUCGCUAGCCAUGGUUAAGAGAAAAAGAACAAUCCAGUGACUUAAAUAAAACCUUUAUAAUAAUUCAAUAACGUUUUUGUAACUUUUUGAAGUUGAGUUACCAAAACAUAAUCUUUCCAAUAGUUUAGUGACAUUAAAUAUAGUUUACCCAUAAUUUUAGAAUUUUAAAAAAUGUAAUAAUUAAAUAAAAAAAUUACCUUUAAAAAUAUUGUUUUUUGCUCCAUGCUUUUCUCUACUCCUAAGCCCCAACUAUUAUACUUUAAAAAACCUUUUCUUCUUUGCGGCCAUCCAAAAACCCUAAAAAUGACGACCCUCUCGCAUGAACUGACCAUUGAUAUUAUACAUGGUUUAAGUAUAAGAGAUCUUCUACACUUUAAGUGCAUUUAAAAGCUCUGAUGCUCUUUGAUCGCCGAUCCAUAUUUCUUCAAACUUCGCUGUUUAAAAUUCGGUAAGCCCAACACACCCACUACAAAGGACCUAUGACCUAUAACUAAUGUUACACCAACUCUCUAAAGUUGAUAAACCUUUUAUUUUCUAACUUCUUAAUGCAUUAUAAUACUCAAACGGCAAAGCCAACUAUAUAUCAUUCAUGCAGUAGAGCCGACUAUACAUAAAAGGUAACCCAAGUGCACUAAGUGCUUAGACCCCUAAGGCUUAACCGAGAAUAAUUACCAGAAAAAAGAACAUUUUUUUAUUAAUACACUUACAGGAAACUUAGUGGACAAUACAACAGGUUAUUCACUUCUCUUUUAUGGAUGGUUUUUGCGGCUACAACCAAAUAAAGAUGCAUCUUGAAGACAUGAAAAAGACCACAUUCGUAACUAUGUGGGGAGCAUUUUGCUAUAAAGUGAUGUCAUUCGGAUUGAAAAAUACGGGAGCGACGUAUCAAAGAGACAUGGUAACCCUAUUUCAUGAUGUGAUGCACAAGGAAAUCGAGGUUUAUGUUGAUGAUAUAAUCCCAAAAUCCUGAAUAGAAGAAGAACAUAUAUAGGUCCUGAGGAAAUUGUUUUUGAGAUUGAGAAAAUUCCAACUGAAGCUCAAUCCAGCAAAAUGUACCUUCGGGGCUAGGUCAGAAAAAUUGUUAGGAUUCGUAGUUAGGGAGAAGAGAAUCGAGAUUGACCCGGAAAAGUCAAGGCUAUACAUGAGUUGCAUCCGUCGCACACUCAAAAAAAGGUCCGGGGUUUCUUAGGGAGAUUAAAUUACAUCGCUCGGUUUAUUUCAGAACUAACCGAGAAAUGCGACCCCAUAUUCUGUCUCCUUAAGAAACAUAAUCCAGGUGUAUGGGAUGAGGAAUGUUAGAAAACCUUUGAUAAGGUCAAACAUUACCUAUCUCAUGCCACAAUGCUAAUGCCACCUAGUCUAGAUAAGCAGCAAAUACUGUAUUUGGUAGUAUUUGAGAAUUCUAUAGGAUGCGUACUUAGCCAACACCAUGAGUCAGGAAGGAAAGAAAGAACAAUAUAUUACCUCAGUAAGAAAUUCACUAAAUGUGAGACAAGAUACUCACCGAUUAAAAAGUUGUGUUAUGUUUUAAUCUGGACAACUCGAUGACUGAAACAGUACAUGUUGUACUAUACAACUUGGCUUAUCUAAAAAAUAGACCCUCUAAAGUACAUGAUGGAGUCGAUUGCUCUGAAUGGAUGAAUGACCCGAUGACAAAUUCUACUUUCUGAAUUUAAUAUAGUCUAUGUGAACCAGAAGGCAAUUAAAGAAAGUGCAAUAGUAGAUUUUCUAGCCAGUAGAGCUCUAGAAAAUUACGAGCCUUUAAACUUUAAUUUCUCGAAUGAAGAUCUGAUGUAUGUUGCGACUACUGAAGAGGGUGCUUAAUAAGAACAUCCUUGGAAACUAAAUUUUGAUGGGGCUUCAAACGAUGUGGGUAAUGAAAUCAGGGCAGUUCUAGUAUCCCCAAAUGGAGAUUAUUAUCUCUUUACUAGUAUAUUGAAUUUUAAUUGCAUAAAAAAUAUGGUAGAAUAUGAAGCACAUAUCAUGGGCAUCCAUGCAGCCAUAGAACGCAAGAUCAAAGUAUUAAAGGUAUAUGGGGAUUC